rnacentral:lncRNA from 1 species
UUUUUUCUUUUUUUUCUUUGGCCUUUCUUUUUUUCUUUCUUUUUGGCCUUUUUUUAUUUGGGGACAAUUCUCUAAUAAUGAUGAUCAUCACACUUCUAUUUAUUUACAACUCAUGAAUUACAACUCAAAACUAGAACAAGAUAUAACUCUAUAUGAAUGCCUCCGGCGGUGUACCGGGAUAGGCAAUGAAUCAAGAGUGACAUGUAUGAAAAUUUAUGCAUGGUGGCUUUGCCACAAAUACGAUGUCAACUACAUGAUCAUGCAAGGCAAUAUGACAAUGAUGAUGUGUGUCAUGAUGAUGAACGGAGCGGUGGAAAGUUGCAUGGCAAUAUAUCUCCGAAUGGCUAUGGAAAUGCCAUAAUAGGUAGGUAUGGCGGCUGUUUUGAGGAAGAUAAAAGGAGGUUUAUGUGUGAUAGAGCGUAUCGUAUCACGGGGUUUGUAUGCACCGGCGAAGUUUGCACCAACUCUCAAGGUGAGAAAGGGCAAUGCACGGUACCGAAGAGGCUAGCAGUGAUGGAAGGGUAAGAGUGCGUAUAAUCCAUGGACUCAAAAUUAGUCAUAAAGAAGUCAUAUACUUAUUGAAAAAAUCUACAAGUCAUAAAAAACCAAGCACUACGCGCAUGCUCCUAGGGGGAUAGAUUGGUAGGAAAAGACCAUCGCUCGUCCCGGCCGCCACUCAUAAGGAUGCCAAUCUAAGAACACCUCAGGUUUCAAAUUUGUUACACAACUUUUACCAUACGUGUAUGCUACAUGACUUGCCAACUUCAACACAAGCAUUCUUUAAAUUCACAAUUGCCCAACUAGCAUGACUCUAAUAUCACCACCUCCAUGUCUCAAAACAAUUAUCAAGUAUCAAAUUGAACAUAGCAUCCGAUUCACUUCCUAUGAUAGUUUUUAUUAUACCCAACUUGGAUGCCCAUCAUUCUAGGACCAAUUUUAUAACCAUAGCAAAUACCAUGCUGUUCUAAGAGACUCUCAAAAUAAUAUAAGUGAAGCAUGAGAGAUUAUCAAUUUCUACAAAAUCAAGCCACCGCCGUGCUCUAAAAGAUAUAAGUGAAGCACAUAGAGUAUUCUAAUAAAUUCCAAACAAGUGGCUUUAUCCCAAAAGGUGUGUAUAGCAAGGAUGACUAUGGUAGCAAGGAUGACUAUGGUAAACUAAAAAGCAAAGACUAAUAUCAUACAAGACGCUCCAAGCAAAACACAUACCAUGUGGCGAAUAAAAAUAUAGCUCCAAGUAAAGUUACCGAUAGACGAAGACGAAAGAGGGGAUGCCUUCCGGGGCAUCCCCAAGCUUAGGAUUUUUGUUAUCCUUUAAUAUCAUGGGGUGCCAUGGGAAUCCGCAAGCUUAGGCUCUUUCCACUCCUUAUUCCAUAGUCCAUCAAAUCUUUACCCAAAACUUGAAAACUUCACAACACAAAACUCAACAGGAAAUCCCAUAAGCUCCGUUAGUGCAAGAAAGAAAAACCACCACAUAAGGUACUGUAAUGAACUCAUUCUUUAUUUAUAUUAGUGUUAAAAUUACUGUAUUCCAACUUAUCUAUGGUUCGUACCCUACAUACUAGCCAUAAAUGCAUCAAAAUAAGCAAACAACAUACGAAAAACAGUAUCUGUCAAAAACAGAAGAGUCUGUAGAAAUCUGUAACUCUCGAAUACUUAUGGAACUCUAAGAAUCCUACCAAAAUAGGAAGUCCUAGGCAAUUUUUCUAUUGAUCUACAGCAAAAAGAAUCAACGCAAAAGCACGUUUAUGUGAAUUACUAAAAGUAUUUUCGUGCAUGCAAAGUAUCUGUUUUUCAGCAGAAUCAAAUUAACUAUCACCAUAGGUUAUCCUAUAGGUUCUACUUGGCACAAACACUAAUUAAAACAUGAAAACACAUCUAAACAGAAGCUAGAUGAAAUAUCUAUUACUAAACAGAAGCAAAAAGUAAUAAACAAAAAUAAAAUUGGGUUGCCUCCCAACUAGCGCUAUUGUUUAACGCCCCAAGCUAGGCAUAAAAGCGAGGAUAGGUCUAAGUAGUGCCAUAUUUAAUUUUCAGUUUUUUAGCGAGUCAUGCUCAAAUCCGGUAGGUUCUUUACAUUUCCCUUCAUACUCGGAAAUUUUUAGAUCUAAAGAAUCCAACCGCUUAUUGCAAAGAGUAAUCAACAUAUUCAUGCGGUGAAGAUUUCCUCUAACACUCUUAAGAGGUUCAAGAGACUUUUGUAAGAUUUUUGUUACUUCGCAAAUAUUUUCAAACACUUGUGUUUCUUAUUGGGUAGGAUGUGGUCCCCCUUUAUGAGUUAGUGUUCCCACUAUUCCCUCUAUAAUUUCAUGCGCAAUACUAGGAUCAAUUUCAAUAAAAUUUCCCUUGGCAAUGCAAUCCAAGAGUUGUCUAUGAGACACGUUUAGCCCAACAUAAAAAUUGCAAAGUAGAAUUCUAAAAUUCACUUCUAGGGUGCAAUUACGAUAAGAUUCCAUCAUCCUAUACCAAGAAUCUUUUAAGUUUUCUCCUUUCCUUUGCUUGAAGUGAGGAACUUCAAACUCGGGAGACAUAGGAGCGGAUAAGGGACUAGCCAUAGCGACAAGUAAUCCAACACACAAGCAAACAAAAAGGCAAGCGAAAGAGAGAGGAGAUUGGGAAAGAGAGGGCGAAUAAAACGGCAAGGGUGAAGUGGGGGAGAGAAAAACGAGAGGCAAAUGGCAAAUAAUGUAAUGUGGAGGAGAUGAGUUUGUGAUGGGUACUUGGUAUGUCUUGACUUGAGCGAAGACCUCCCCGGCAACGGCGCCAGAAACCCUUCUUGCUACAUCUUGAGCUUGCAUUGGUUUUCCUUGAAGAGGAAAGGGUGAUGCAGCAAAGUAGCGUAAGUAUUUCCCUUAGUUUUUGAGAACCAAGGUAUCAAUCCAGUAGGAGGCUCGUCAAAAGUCCCAUGCACCUACACAAACAAACAAGAACCUCGCAACCAAUGCAAUAAAGGGGUUGUCAAUCCCUUCACGGCCACUUGCGAAAGUGAGAUCUGAUAGAGAUAAUAUGAUAAGAUAAAUAUUUUUGGUAUUUUUAUGAUAUAGAUUGGAAAAGUAAAGAUGCAAAUAAAAGUAGAUGAUAAACUUAUAUGAUAAAAGAUAGACCCGGGGGCCAUAGGUUUCACUAGUGGCUUCUCUCAAGAUAGCAUAAGUAUUACGGUGGGUGAACAAAUUACUGUCGAGCAAUUGAUAGAAAAUUGAAUAAUUAUGAUAUUAUCUAGGCAUGAUCAUGUAUAUAGGCAUCACGUCCGUGACAAGUGGACCGACUCCUUCCUGCAUCUACUACUAUUACUCCACACAUCGACCGCUAUCCAGCAUGCAUCUGAGUAUUAAGUUCAUAAAGAACAGAGUAACGCAUUAAGAAAGAUGACAUGAUGUAGAGGGAUAAACUCAUGCAAUAUGACAUAAACCCCAUCUUUUUAUCCUCGAUGGAAACAAUACAAUACGUGCCUUGCUGCCCCUGCUGUCACUGGGAAAGGACACCGCAAGAUUGAACCCAAAGCUAAACACUUCUCCCAUUGCAAGAAAGAUCAAUCUAGUAGGCCAAACCAAACUGAUAAUUCGAAGAGACUUGCAAACAUAACUUAAUCACACAUAAAAGAAUUUAGAGGAGAUUCAUAUAUUUCUCAUAGAUAAACUUGAUCAUAAACCCACAAUUCAUUGGAUCUCGACAAACACACCGCAAAAAGAGUUACAUCGAAUAGAUCUCCAAGAAGAUCGAGGAGAACUUUGUAUUGAGAUCCAAAGACAAAUAAGAAGCCAUCUAGCUAAUAACUAUGGACCCGAAGGUCUGUGGUAAACUACUCACAACUCAUCAGAAGGGCCUUGGAGAUGAUGUAGAGGCCCUCCAUGGUCGAUUCCCCCUCCGGCGGAGCGCCGACGAAGGCUCCAAGAUAGAAUCUCAUGGAUAUAGAAGGUUACAACGUUGGAAUUAGGUUUUUGUGGUGCUCCUCGAUGGUUUCAGGGUACAUGGGUAUAUAUAGGAGGAAGAAUUAGGUCGGUGGACACUCGAGGGGCCCACAAGGGUGGGGGCGCGCCCACCUGUAGGGGGCACCGGGCAGCCUCGUGGCCGUCUCCUCUGUUGCUUGAUGUCCACUCCAAGUCCCCUGGAUCACGUUUGUUCCAAAAAGACCGCUCCCGAAGGUUUCAUUCCGUUUGGACUCCGUUUGAUAUUCCUUUUCUUCGAAACACUCAAAUAUGCAAAUAAACAGCAAUCCGGGAUGGGCCUCCGGUUAGUAGGUUAGUCCCAAAAAUGAUAUAAAAGUGUAAAGUAAAGCCCAUAAACAUCCAAAACAGGUAAUAUAAUAGCAUGCAACAAUCAAAAAUUAUAUAUACGUUGGAGACGUAUCAAAUGGCAACGAUACUAAUAUGUGUCAUGUCCCUUUCUGUCACUGGGAUUGAGUAUCGCGAGAUCAAACCCAUCACAAAGCACCUCUCCCAUUGCAACAAAAAUCAAUUUAGUUGGCCAAACCAAAUCAAUAGAUCGGAGGGAAAUACAAAGCUAUAACAAUCAUGCAUAAAAGAGUUUAGAGAAAACUCAAAUAAUAUUCAUGGAUAAUCUGAUCAUAAGCUCAUAAUUUGUCAGAUCCCAACAAACACAUCGCAAAAAGUCAUUACAUCGAAUAGAUCUCCAAGAACAUCGAGGAGAACAUUGUAUCGAAGAUCAAAGACACAUAAGAAUCCAUGUAGCUACUAGCUAUGGACCCGUAGGUCUGUGGUGAACUACUUACACAUCAUUGGAAGGGAAGCAAGGUUGAUGUCGAGCCCCUCCAUGGUCGAUUCCCCCUCCGGUAGAGUACCGAGGGAGGCCUCCAGAUGGGAUUUUGCAAGAAAAAAACUUGCAGCAGCAGAAAAAGUAUUCUGGGUGGACCUUUGAUGUCAGGGGAAUAUUUGAGAAUUUAUAGAGGUGGAAUUAGGUCAAGAGGUGCCACGAGGGGCCCACAGGCUUGGGGGCGCCCCCUAGGGCGCGACCCUCGAGCUUGUUUCUCCCUCAUGGCUCUUAAGGUCUUCUCUUGAACCUUCUAGGAUCUCUUCGGGUCUAGAAAAAAUUAAUCCAAAGUUUUUUCUCCGUUAGGAAUCUAUUUGGUAUUCAUUUCCUGAAAAGCCAAAAACAGGCAAAAGACAACAACUUGCACUAGGCACUAGGUUAAUAGUUUAGUCCCAAAAAUGAUAUAUAAUUGCAUAUAAACAUUCAAGACUGAAAUUAUAAUAUCAUGCAACAACAAAAAACUAUAGAUACAUUGGGGACGUAUCAAGCAUCCCCAAGCUUAAUUCCUGCUUGUCCUCGAGUAGGUUAAUGAUAAAAACAGAUUUUUUGACGUGGAAUGCUACCUAUCAUGUUCAUCAUGUAAUUUCUCUUUGUGGCAUGAGUAUAAAGAUCCAAAUGAUUCAAAGCAAUAGUCUAUAGUUUGACAUAAAAAACAAUAAUAAUAAGGCAUACCAACAAACAAUCAUGUCUUUCAAAAUAUCAAUGCUAAAGAACAUUAUCCCUACAAAAUCAUAUAGCAGUGUCAUGCUCCAUCUUCUUAACACAAAGUAUUUAUCAUGCACAACCCCCACAAGCCGAGCAAUUGGUUCAUAAUUUUUAACGCACUUCAUCUUUUUAAAGUCUCACACAUUAUAUGAGCGCAAGCCAUGGAUAUACCAGUAUAGGUGGAGUAUAGUAUGAUGUUGGGGGUUGUAUGGAGAAGACAAAAAAGGAAAAAAAGUCUCACAUUAAUGAGGCUAAUCAACGGGCUAUGGAGAUGCCCAUCAAUUGAUGUCAAUGCAAGGAGUAGGGAUUGCCAUGCAAUAGAUGCACUAAGAGCUAUAAGUGUAUUAAAGCUCAAAAAUAAAACUAAGCGGGUGUGCAUCCAACUUGCUUGCUCAUGAAGACCUCGAGCAUUUGAGGAAGCCCAUCAUUUGAAUAUAAAAGCCAAGUUCUAUAGUGAAAAAUCCCCACUAGCUAGUUAUAUGAAAAUAAAGCAUAGGAGACUCUCUAUAUGAAAAACAUGGUGCUACUUUGAAGCACAAGUGUGGAAAGGAUAGUAACAUUGCCCCUUCUCUCAUUUUCCUUUUUUAUUUUUAGUUGGCUGAUGACCGACAAGUGUAGGAGAUCUAUCAUAGUCCUUUUAAUAAGUAAGAGUGUCGAACCCAAUGAGGAGCAGAAGGAAAUGACAAGCGGUUUUAAGUAAGGUAUUCUCUGCAAGCACUGAAAUGAUCGGUGAUAGAUAGUUUUGUGAUAAGGUAAUUUGUAACGGGUAACAAGUAAUGAAAGUAAAUAAGGUGCAGCGAGGUGGCCCAAUCCUUUUUAUAGCAAAGAACAAGCCUGGACAAGUUCUUAUAUAGAGAAAAGCGCUCCUGAGGACACAUGAGAAUUAUCGUCAAGCUAGUUUUCAUCACGUUCAUAUGAUUUGCGUUCGUUACUUUGAUAAUUUGGUAUGUGGGUGGACCGGUGCUUGGGUACUGGCCUUUCUUGGACAAGCAUCCCACUUAUAAUUAACCCCUAUUGCAAGCAUCCACCACUACAAAAGAAGUAUUAAGGUAAACCUAACUAUAGCAUGAAACAUAUGGAUCGAAAUCAGCCCCUUACGAAGCAACGCAUAAACUAGGGUUUAAGCUUUUGUCACUCUAGCAACCCAUCAUCUACUUAUUACUUCCCAAUGCCUUCCUCUAGGCCGAAAUAAUGGUGAAGUGUCAUGUAGUCGACGUUCACAUAACACCACUAGAGGAGAGAUAACAUACAUCUCAUCAAAAUAUCGAAGGAAUACCAAAUUCACAUGACUACUUAUAGGAAGACUUCACCCAUGUCCUCAGGAACAAACAUAACUACUCACAAAUCAUAUUCAUGUUCAUAAUUAGAGGGGUAUUAAUAUGCAUUAAGGAUCUGAACAUACGAUCUUCCACCGAAUAAACCAACUAGCAUCAACUACAAGGAGUAAUCAACACUACUAGCAACCCACAUGUACCAAUCUAAGGUUUUGGGACAAAGAUUGGAUACAAGAGAUGAACUAGGGUUUGAGAGGAGAUGGUGCUGGUGAAGAUGUUGAUGGAGAUUGAUCCCCUCCCGAUGAGAGGAUCGAUGGUGAUGACGAUGGGGAUGAUCUCCCCCUCCCGGAGGGAUGUUUCCCCGGCAGAAUAGCUCCGCCGGAGCCCUAGAUUGGUUCCGCCAAGGUUCCGCCUCGUGGCGGUGGAGUUUCGUCCCUAAAGCUUGCUUAUGAUUUUUCUAGGGAAAAUACUUCAUAUAGCAUAAGAUGGGCACCGGAGGCCUGCUAGGUGGCCCACGAGGCAGGGGGGCGCACCCAGGGGGGUAUGGCGCGCCCCCACCCUCGUGGACGGUGGGUGGCCCCCUCUGAUAUUUCUUCUGCUCAGUAUUUUUUAUUAAAUCGAAAAAUGACUUUCGUGGAGUUUCAGGACUUUUGGAGUUGUGCAGAAUAGGUCUCUAAUAUUUUCUCCUUUUCCAGCCUAGAAUCCCAGCUGCCGGCAUUCUCCCUCUUCAUGUAAACCUUGUAAAAUAAGAGAGAAUAGGCAUAAGUAUUGUGACAUAAUGUGUAAUAACAACCCAUAAUGCAAUAAAUAUAGAUAUAAAAGCAUGAUGCAAAAUGGAUGUAUCAACUCCCCCAAGCUUAGACCUCGCUUGUCCUCAAGCGGAAGCCGAAAUCGAAAAAUAUGUCCACAUCUUUAGAGAUAGAGGUGUCGAUAAAAUAAAAUACGGACAUGAGGGCAUCAUUAUCAUUCUUAUAACAUCAACAUAUAUAUAUUAUCAUAUGAUUUCUUAUGCUCAAGUAACAAUCUAUUCACAAUGUCAAGUAUGAAUCAGAAACAUCAUUGAAAACCAACAAACUAUAAUCUCGGUCAUUGAAGCAAUUGCAAUUUAUCAUAACAUCGGGAAGAGUCAAUAUAAGAGCUUUUCAGCUAGUCCACAUACUCAACUAUCAUUUAGUCUUUCACAAUUUCUAACACUCACGCAAUACUUAUGGUUAUGGAGUUUUAAUCGGACACAGAGAAAGAUAGGGGCUUAUAGUGUUGCCUCCCAACCUUUUACCUCAAGGGUAAUGUCAACAAUAAUAGUUCAUGCUAACUUACAUCCAAUUGGAUAUAUAUAUCAGGAUCUUUCCAACAUGAGGUGCUUGCCAAAGGAUAAAAUGUAAAAAGGAAAGGUGAAGAUCACCAUGACUCUUGCAUAAUUUAUAAGACAAAAGUAAAAGAUAGGCCCUUCGCAGAGGGAAGCAGAGGUUGUCAUGUGCUUUUAUGCUUGGAUGCACGAAAUCUUAAUGCAAAAGAACGUCACUUUAUAUUGCCACUUGUGAUAUGGAACUUUAUUAUGCAGUCCGACGCUUUUAUUGCUUCCAUAUCACAAGAUCGUAUAAACCUUAUUUUCUGCACACUAAUAAGUCAUACAUAUUUAGAGAGCAAUUUUUAUUGCAUGCAACAUGACAACUUACUUGAAGGAUCUUACUCAAUCCAUAGGUAGAUAUGGUGGACUCUCAUGGCAAAACUGGGUUUAAGGAUAUUUGGAAGCACAAGUAGUAUCUCUACUUGGUGCAAGGAAUUUGGCUAGCAUGAGGGGGGAAAGCAAGCUCAACAUGUUGGAUGAUCCAUGACAAUAUACUUUAAUUCAGAUAUGAGAAAACAUAACCCAUUACGUUGUCUUCCUUGUCCAACAUCAACUCUUUAGCAUGUCAUAUUUUAAUGAGUGCUCACAAUCAUAAAGGAUGUCCAAGAUAGUAUAUUUAUAUGUGAGAACCUCUCUUUCUUUAUUACUUCCUAUUAAUUGCAAAGAUGACCAAAACUAUGUUUGCCAACUCUCAACAACUUUUAAUCAUCAUACUCUUAUAUGUGAAGUCAUUACUCGCCAUAAGAUCAAUAUGAUCUCUUUUAUUUCUUUUUAUUCUUUUAUUCCCUUAAGAUCAUAGUAAGAUAGCAAAGCCCUUGAUUGAACACUAAUCUUUAUUAUAUAUAGCUCACGAACUCGACUACAUAGAGGGAUCAUAAAGCAAACUCAAUACUAAAUCAUACUAAAACUCUAUUCUACUAGAUCAAGAUAUUACUAAAAGGAUCGAACUAAGUAAAACGGUAAAGAUAGGAGUGUGAUGGUGAUGCAAUACUGGGGCACCUCCCCCAAGAUUGGCAGUUGCCAAGGGGAGUGCCCAUACCCAUGUGUUUAUGUCUCCUUCUGCGGAGUUGGUGGUGUGAUAUUCUUGGCGAUGAUGCCCCUCAGGAUACGAUUCUCCUCCUCGAUCUUAUUGACUUGCUGCUUGAGGUCCAUAUUUUCCUUGCGAAGCUUAUCCGUGACGGCUAAAGCUCCUUUCACCCAAGGAUGUUGCAUAGCUACUGGAGAACAAGUGACACUCUUUUUCAUAUUUUCAUAAGAAAGAAAUUUAACAUUGGAAGGGAUGACCGAGUUUGGAAUAGCUGAGCUCUGUAGUUCCCCCAUCGUGAAUCCGUCUUGGAACCGAGAGGUAACUUCUUGGUCCUCCUCCAUGGAAUCUAUCCUUUUCAAGUCGGCCUCCAUCUCCUCCUCCGUUGAUGGCCCAAAGUGAUAGGCAUCAUUGUUUGCUCCUGGACCUACUGUCGGAUGAGACACCCGACUCUCCCCGACCGAGUCUUGAGAAGACAUCUUGCUCUAAAUCUGCGACAGAAACAUCUCAAAACAAAAACAAAGGAUAUUUGCGUGAUACGGUGGUCAAAACCUUCGGGAGAUUAUAUAAUGAAUUUUACCGACCGAAAGAAGUAUCAUACAAGAAAACGGAGUCCGAAGAGCACACGAGGUGCCCACGAGGCAGGGGGCACACCCAGGGGGUAGGGCAUGCCCUCCACCCUCGUGGACGCCUCGUGUCCUUCCCAGACUACUUCUUAUUUUCCUAUUUUCUUAAAUAUUUGAAAACGGAGAAAAAAAUGCUAUUAGAACUGUUUUGGAGUCGGUUUACUUACCGUACCACAUACCUAUUCCUUUUUGGAGUCUGAAACAUUCUGGAAAGUGUCUCUUAUGUACUCCUCCGGGGUUACGGUUUCAAUAACAUUAGUUUCAACAUUUGUAGGAUUACCUGUGAUAUAAUGUUUGAUUCUUUGAACGUUCACCGCCUUUGGAUUCGUGCCUUUGAAGUUGUUGAUUUUUAUGGCACCAGAAUGAUAGACCUCCUCGAUGAUGUAAGGGCCUUCCCAUUUAGAGAGAAGUUUUUCUGCAAAAAAAUCUUAAACGUGAGUUGUAUAGCAAAACAUAAUGACCUACAUUAAACUCAUGCUUUUGUAUCCUCUUGUCAUGCCAUCUUUUAACCUUUUCCUUAAACAGUUUGGCAUUCUCAUAGGCUUGGGUUCUCCAUUCGUCACGUGAGCUAAUGUCACAUAACCUCUUCUCACUGGCAAGUUUGAAAUCAUAAUUGAGCUCUUUAAUAUCCCAAUAUGCCUUAUGUUCUAGUUUGAGAGGUAAGUGACAAGCUUUUCCAUAAACCAUUUUAUAUGGAGACAUACCCAUAGGAUUCUUAUAUGUAGUUCUAUAAGCCGAUAAUGCAUCAACAAGUUUCUUGGACCAAUUCUUUCUAGACCUAUUAACAGUCUUUUGCAAAAUCAACUUGAGCUCUCUGUUACUCAAUUCUACUUGACCACUAGACUGUGGGUGAUAAGGAGAUGCAAUUUUAUGAUUAAAAAUCAUACUUAGCAAGUUACAAAAAGCAUCAUGAAUAAAAUGUGAACCACCAUCAUUCAUUAGGUAUCUAGGGACUCUAAACCUCGGAAAAAUAACUUCUUUAAGUAUCUUAAUAGAGGUGUUAUGUUCAGCAUUACUAGUUGGAAUAGCUUCUACCCACUUAGUAAUGUAAUCAACAACAACUAAAAUAUGUGUAUACCCAUUAGAGGAAGGAAACGGUCCCAUAUAACCAAAGCCCCAAACAUCAAAUGGUUCAAUAACAAGAGAAUAAUUCAUAGGCAUUUCUUGUCAUCUACUAAUAUUACCAAUUCUUUGACAUUCAUCACAAGACAAGACAAACUUACGGGCAUCUUUGAAGAGAGUAGGCCAAUAAAAACCGGAUUGCAAUACCUUAUGUGCAGUUCUAUCUCCGGCGUGGUGUCCUCCGUAUGCCUCAGAGUGACACUUGCGUACACAACGUCUAAUAACACCAUCUAAUCCUUCUUUAUAAAGGUGUGGGUCAUCCCAGAAGUAAUGUCUUAAAUCAUAGAAAAACUUUUUCUUUUGCUGGUAUGUGAAACUAGGUGGUAUAAAUUUAGCAACAAUGUAAUUAGCAUAAUCAGCAUACCAUGGAGGAGUAUGAGAAGCAUUUAUGACAACUAAUUGUUCAUCAGGAAAGCUAUCAUCAAUAGGUAGUGGGUCAUCAAGAACAUUCUCUAACCUAGACAAGUUGUCUGCAACAGGGUUCUCAGCUCCCUUUCUAUCAAUAAUAUGCAAAUCAAAUUCUUGUAAUAGGAGAACCCAUCUAAUUAGUCUAGGUUUAGCAUCUUCCUUUUCCAUAAGAUAUUUAAUAGCAGCAUGUUCAGUGUGAAUAGUACUUUAGAAUCAAUGAUAUAAGGUCUGAACUUAUCACAAGCAAAUACAACUGCUAAAAAUUCUUUUUUCAGUAGUAGCAUAAUUUCUCUGGGCACUGUCUAGAGUUUUACUAGCAUAUAGAAUAACAUUUAGUUUCUUAUCAACUCUUUGUCCUAGAACAGCACCUACAACAUAAUCACUAGCAUCACACAUAAUUUCAAAGGCUAAAUUCCAAUCAGGUGGCUGAACAAUAGGUGCAGAAAUCAAAGCUUUCUUAAGUAUUUCAAAUGCUUCUACACAAUCAUCAUCAAAGACAAAAGGAAUAUCUUUUUGUAAGAGAUUAGUCAGAGGCCUAGAAAUUUUAGAGAAGUCCUUAAUGAACCUCCUAUAAAAACUAGCAUGACUAAGGAAACUUCUUAUACCUUUGGGACAUGACAUCUUUUCAAUAACAUCAACCUUAGCUUUAUAAACUUCAAUACCUCUUUCAGAAAUUUUAUGCCCCAAGACAAUGCCUUCAUUAACCAUAAAGUGGCACUUCUCCCAGUUCAAGACAAGACUAGUAUCUUCACAUCUCUGCAAAACUCGAUCAAGGUUGCUCAUGCAAUCAUCAAAAGAAGACCCAUAAACGAAGAAAUCAUCCAUGAAAACCUCACAAAUCUUUUCACAAAAGUCAGAGAAUAUAGCCAUCAUGCAUCUUUGAAAGGUAGCGGGUGCAUUACAUAAACCAAAAGGCAUACGUCUAUAAGCAAAAGUACUGAAAGGGCAAGUAAAAGUGGACUUUUCUUGAUCCUCUGCUGACACAGGUAUUUGAGAGAAACCAGAGUAACCAUCUAGAAAGCAAAAAUGUGUAUGUUUAGAUAAUCUUUCUAGAAUUUGAUCAAUAAAAGGUAGAGGGUAAUGAUCCUUUUUAGUAACUUUAUUUAACUUACGAAAAUAAAUUACCAUCCUAUAACCUGUAAUAAUUCUUUGCGAGAUCAAUUCAUCUUUAUCAUUAGGAAAAACAGUAAUACCUCCCUUCUUAGGGUCAUAAUGGACAGGAAUUACCCACUGACUAUCAACAACGGGAUAAAUUAUACCUGCCUCGAGGAGCUUUAGUAUUUCCUUUCUUACCACUUCUUUCAUCUUAGGAUUUAACCGUUGUUGGUGAUCAAUAACUGGUUUGGCGUCUUUCUCCAAAUUUAUCUCGUGUUGACAUAAAGUGGGACUAAUGCCCUUAAGAUCAUCAAGAGUAUAUCCAAUAGCAGCACGAUGUUUCUUCAGAGUUUUCAAUAAUCUUUCCUCUUCCUGCUCUGAAAGGUUAGCACUAAUAAUAACAAGAUAUAUCUUCUUUUCAUCAAGAUAAGCAUAUUUGAGAGUAUCAGGUAAUGGUUUAAGCUCAAACACGGGAUCACCCUUGGGUGGAGGAGGAUCCCCUAGAAUUUCAAUAGGCAAGUUGUGUUUCAAAGUAGGUCCCUGUUUAAAGAAUACUUCAUCUAUCUCCCUUCUUUCAUUCAUAAACAUAUCAAUUUUCAUGGUCUAGCAAAUAUUGUUCUAAAUGGUCAUUAGGAGGAACGACAAUAGAAGCAAGACCAAUAAUUUCAUCCUUACUAGGCAAUUCUUUAUCAUGGGGUUGUCUACGAAAUUUAGCAAAAUUAAACUCAUGAGACAUAUCCCCUAAGCCAAUCGUAACAACAUCCUUUUCGCAGUCUAUCUUAGCAUUAACAGUGUUCAAGAAGGGUCUACCAAAUAUAAUGGGACAAAAGUCUUCUUGCAGGGAACCAAGAACAAGAAAAUCAGCAGGAUAUUUAACUUACCCACACAAGACUUCAACAUCUCUAACAAUCCCAAUUGGUGAAAUAGUAUCUCUAUUGGCAAGCUUAAUUGUAACAUCAAUUUCUUCUAUCUUAGCAGGUGCAAUAUCACGCAUAAUUUCUUUGUAUAAGGAAUGGGGUAUUGCACUUGCACUAGCAUCCAUAUCACAUAAGCCAUGAUAACAAUGAUCUUCUAUUUUAACAGAAAUAACAGCCAUGCCUAGAACAAGUCUAUGUUUCUUAGCAUCGGGUCUAGCAAUUCUAGCAGAUGUAUCACAGAAAUAAAUAACAUGCCCAUCAAUAUUAUCAGCCAAGAGAUCUUUAACCAUAGCAAUACUAGGUUCAACUUUAAUUUGCUCAGGUGGUGUAUAUGUUCUAAUGUUACUUUUGCGAACCAGAGUUAAAGCUUUAUCAUGAUCCUUUAUCCUAACAGGGAAAGGUGGUUUCUCAAUAUAAGUAGCAGGAACAAUAGGAUAGUUAUAAGUGAUAGUCUUUUCUUCAACUUUAAUAGGUGCAACUACUUUUACUUUAGUGGGAGGAUUAAAUUUAAACCACUUCUCCUUAGGUAGGUCAACAUGAGUAGCAAAAGAUUCACAAAAGGAGGGUACUAUAUCAUAGUCAAGUCCAUAUUUAGUGCUAAACUUUUGAAAAGCAUCGGUAUCCAUAAUAGAUUUAACACAAUCAUACUUAAGCUUUAUACCCGAAUCUUUACCUUCGUCAAGUUCCCAAUCUUCAGAGUUGCGUUUAAUUCUUUCCAGAAGAUCACACCGGAAUUCAAUAGUCUUCUUCAUAAAAGAACCAGUAUAAGAAGUAUGAAGCAUGGUUUGAUCAUUACGAGAAAGCCGAGCAUAAAAAUUGUGAAUAUUAAUUUCUCUUGAGAGCUCAUGAUUGGGGCAUGAAUAUAACAUCGACUUAAGCCUCCCCCAAGCUAGAGCCAUACUUUCUCCUUCACGAGGCCAAAAAUUAUGUAUAUAACACGACUUAUGCAUAUGAUAAUUGUUUUGAUGGAACUCCUAUUUCAAAUGAUUCCAAUUCCAUGAUCCAAUAUCAUCGCAUAGCCUAUACCAUGCCAAUGUUUCCCUUCAAAGUAAAGGGAAAACCUUUUUCAUCUCUUCAUCCCUGGGUAAACCUGCAAGCUUAAACAAUCCACAAAUUUGUUCCACAUGUAUCAAGUGCAUAUCAGGAUGUUCGGUUCCAUCUCCUGCAUAAGGAUUAGCUAGCAGUUGUUCUAUCAUACCCGAAGGGAUUUCAUAUUCAAUAUUUUCAGUAGGUGCAGUAGGUUGAGGGGUAACUAAUUGUGGUUCCGGACAAGGUGAAGAUACCCCUAAGAAACCCCUCAAAGGAUUGUUUUCCAUAGUAACAAGUGAUAAUAAAUUUCAGCACACAAUAUAAAUGUUUCCUUACCAAAUUCCACUUACCCAAGGCGCUUCACUCCCCGGCAACGGCGCCAGAAAAUAGCCUUGAUGACCCACAAGUGUAGGGGAUCUAUCGUAGUCCUUUUGAUAAGUAACAGUGUCGAACCCAACGAGGAGCAGAAGGAAAUGACAAGUGGUUUUCAGUAAGGUAUUCUCUGAAAGCACUAAAACUGUAGGUAACAGAUAGUUUUGUGAUAAGGUAAUUUGUAACGGGUAACAAGUAAUAAAAGUAAAUAAGGUGCAGCAAGGUGGCCCAAUCCUUUUUGUAGCAAACGACAAGCCUGGACAAGUUCUUAUAUAGAGAAAAGCGCUCCCGAGGACACAUGGGAAUUAUCGUCAAGCUAGUUUUCAUCACGUUCAUAUGAUUUGCGUUCGUUACUUUGAUAAUUUGGUAUGUGGGUGGACCAGUGCUUGGGUACUGCCCUUUCUUGGAUAAGCAUCCCACUUAUGAUUAACCCCUAUUGCAAGCAUCCGCAACUACAAAAUAAGUAUUAAGGUGAACCUAACCAUAGCAUGAAACAUAUGGAUCCAAAUCAGCCCCUUACGAAGCAACGCAUAAACUAGGGUUUAAGCUUCUGUCACUCUAGCAACCCAUCAUCUACUUAUUACUUACCAAUGCCUUCCUCUAGGCCCAAAUAAUGGUGAAGUGUCGACAUUCACAUAACACCACUAGAGGAGAGACAACAUACAUCUCACCAAAAUAUCGAACGAAUACCAAAUUCACAUGACUACUUAUAGCAAGACUUCAUCUAUGUCCUCAGGAACAAACGUAACUACUCACAAAUCAUAUUCAUAUUAAUAAUCAGAGGGGUAUUAAUAUGCAUUAAGGAUCUGAACAUAUGAUCUUCCACCGAAUAAACCAACUAGCAUCAACUACAAGGAGUAAUCAACACUACUAGCAACCCAUAGGUACAAGAGAUGAACUAGGGUUUGAGAGGAGAUGGUGCUGGUGAAGAUGUUGAUGGAGAUUGAGCCCCUCCCAAUGAGAGGAUCAAUGGUGAUGAAGAUGGUGAUGAUUUCCCCCACCCGGAGGGAUGUUUCCCCGGCAGAACAGCUCCGCCGGAGCCCUAGAUUGGUUCCGCCAAGGUUCCGCCUCGUGGUGGCGGAGUUUCGUCCCGAAAGCUGGCUUAUGAUUUUUUCCAGGGUAAAAGACUUCAUAUAGCAGAAGAUGGGCACUGGAGGCCUGCCAAGUGGCCCACGAUCGCCACUCAUAAGGAAGACAAUCAAUAAUAAUCAUGCUCCAACUUCUUAGCAUAACGGGAGACUAAACGUGCAUGCUUCAGGAAUCACAAACCUUAACACCAAUAUUCUUACUAAACCAGAAUUACUAACCAGCACAACCCACAUAUUACCACCUUUAUAUCACAAAACUAUUGCAAGGAAUCAAAAUUUAUCAUAUUCAAUGAUCUACAUGAAAGUUUUUAUUAUAUCCCUCUUGAAUACCUAUCAUAUUAGAACCAAAUUCAUAACCCACACUAAUUUUUACUAUUAUCAACUCUCAAAAAUAUAUAAGUGAAGCAUGAGGGUGCAACUAUUUCUUUAAAAUAUAACCACUGUCAUGCUCUAAAAAUACAAGUGAAGCACUAGAGCAACUACCUAGCCCAAAAGAUUUAAGUGAAGCACUAGAGUAUUCUAACAAAUCAUGAAUAAUGUGCGCCCCUCUCAAAAGGUGUGUCUAGCAAACGUGAUUUUGACAAACUAAAAGGCAAACAAAGCAAAGACUCAUAUCAUACACAACGCUCUAAGCAAAACUCAUAUCAUGUGAUGAAUAAAAAUAUAGCUCCAAGUAAAAUUAUCUAUAGUUGGUAGGAGAAAGAGGGAUACCUUCCGGGGCAUCCCCAAGCUUAGAUGCUUGGGAGUCCUUGAGUAUUAACUUGGGAUGCCUUGGGCAUCCCCAAGCUUAGCCUCUUGCCACUCCUUAUUCCUUCAUCCAUCGUGAUCUCACCCAAAACUUGAAAACUUCAGCACACAAAACUCAACAAAAACCUUCGUGAGAUCAGUUAGUAUAACAAAGCAAAUCACUACUUUUGGUACUGUUGUAAACCCAUUCAUAUUUUAUUAUUGCAUUCUACCUACUGUAUUCUAACUUCACCAUGUCUUAUACCCCCCGAUACUAUCCAUAGAUUCAUCAAAACAAGCAAGUAACACAACGAAAACAGAAUCUGUAAAAAAACAGAACAGUCUGUGAUAAUUCGAACAAAGACCAUACUUCUGUAACUCCAAAACUUCUGAAAAACGAGGACAAUGUGGGCAAUUUGUAUAUAAAUCAUGUGAAUUCGGAAUUUUUCGCCGCUCCAUUGACUUUUAACAAUUCUGCGGUGACGUAAAAGUUUCUACUUUUCCAUAGAAUCAAAGCAACUAUCUUCCAAAUCAUCCCAAAGGCUUUAGUUGGCACAAACACUAAUUUAAACACAAAAACACAACCAUAACAGUAGCAUAAUUGUGUGCACAAAAAAAAACAGAAAACAUAACUAUUGGGUUGUCUCCCAACAAGCUCUUUCUUUAUAGCCAUUAAGAUAGGCUUAAGAUUUUAUUGUUUCUCACAUGAAAGAUAAUAAUUGAAACAAAGAGAGCAUCAUGUAGCAUGUGAAGAACACACUUAAGUAUAACAUACUUCCUAUGCAUUUGCACACAUUUAAGUAUAACAUACUUCCUAUGCAUUGGCAUUUUAUAAGCAAACAAAUUAUCAAGACAAGAAAUAUCUACCGUAACAAGGUAGAAGAAUAAAACAUUGACGAUCUCAACAUAACAGGAGGUAAUUUAGUAACAUGAAAAUUUCUACAGCCAUAUUUUCCUCUCUCAUAAUAAUUACAUGUAGGAUCAUAAUAAAAUUCAACAAUAUAGCUAUCAUAUAAAAUUUUCUCUUCAUGAUCCACAUACAUAAAGUUUAUAAUCUUCCAAGAUAGUGGGACUUCUCCAAACCCAAUUUUAUCAAUAAUUUCAUAAGAUUGAACACUCUCCAAAUAUGUGGGAUUAUUUUUACCUAAAGUUGACGCUCUUCCAAACCCACUUUCAAUGUUAUUGCAAACAUUAUUGUAAAUAUCAUAUUCAUCAUGAUGCUUAAAUAAAUUUUCAAGAUCAUAAGAAACAUUAUCACCCCAAUCAUGAUCAUUGCAAUAAGUACUAGACAUAACAAAUUAUCCUUCCCAAGCUUGGGAUUUUGCAUAUCAUUAACACAAUUGACACUAAUAGAAUUUAUAAUAAUAUCAUUGUAAUCAUGCUUUUCAAUCGAGGAGCUAUCAUGAAUCACCUUAUAAAUUUCUUCUUUUAACACUUCACCAUAAUUUCCAGAUUCACAAAUUUCAAGCAAAACUUCAUAAAGAUAAUCUUGUGCACUCGACACACUAGCAAUUGGUUCAUCAUAAUUGGAUUUUUUAAAAAGAUUAGAAAGUGGAUGAGGGUCCAUCUUAAUUUUUCUUAUUUCUUUUUCUGUUUUUGAGUGUUAACAUGAAGGCAAAAAGCAAGCAAACGAGCAAAGAAGCAAAAAGGCGAACACAAAAUAUUUUUGUGUCUUUGUGAAAACGUCUUAGAAGUGGGGGAGAUGAAAACUUGAGGCAAAUGACAAAUAAUGUAAAUGCAAGGAGAUGAAAGUUUAUGCAUAGGUACAUGAUAGAUGUUGAUGAUGUUUCCCCGGCAACGAUGCUAGAAAUUCUUCCUGCUACUUGUGAGCUGCGUUAGGAUUUCCUCGAAGAGGAGAGGAUGAUGCAGUACAGAAGAGAUAACUAUGUCCCUCAGUUAAGAACCAAGGUUAUCAAUCCAGUAGGAGAACCACGCAACACCUUGUUAGCAAUACCUACACACAAAAUAAGAAAUACUUGCACCCAACGCGAACAAGGGGUUGUCAAUCCCUCGACGGUUAGUUGCAAGGAUCAAAUCUCUUAGUGAUAAAUGGAUAAAACAAAAAUACAAAAUAAAAUAACAUAAAUAAAAUUGCAACAAGGUAUUUUUGGAUUUUAAUAUAUGAUAAAAGUAUACUCGGGGCCAUAGUUUUCACUAGAGGCUUCUCUCUUGAAAAUAGCAUAUGGCGGAUAAAUAAAUUACUGUUGGGAAAUUAAUAGAAAAACAAAUAAUCAUGACGAUAUCCAAGGCAAAGAUCAUGUAUAUAGGCAUCAUGUCUGAGAUAAGUAGACCGAAAUGAUUCUGCAUCUACUACUAUUACUCCACACAUCGACCACUGUCCAACAUGCAUCUAGAGUAUUAGUUCAAAGAACGGAGUAAUGCCUUAAGCAAGAUGACAUGAUGUGGACAAAGUAAACCCACUCAUGAAUAAACACCAUAUUUUUAUCCUUAAUGGGAAUGAUACAAAUACGUGUCAUGUCCCUUUCCGUCACUGGGAUUGAGCACCGCAAGAUUGAACCCAUCACAACGCACCUCUCCCAUUGCAAGGAAAAUCAAUAUAGUUGGCCAAACCAAAUCAAUAGAUCAGAGAUAAAUACAAAGCUAUAACAAGCAUGCAUAAAAGAGUUCAAAGAAAACACAAAUAAUAUUCAUGGAUAAUCUGAUCAUAAACUCACAAUUUAUCGGAUCCCAACAAACACACCGCAAAAGCGAUUACAUCAAAUAGAUCUUCAAGAACAUCCAGGAAAACAUUGUAUUGAAGAUCAAAGAGAGAGAAGAAGCCAUCUAGCUACUAGCUAUGAACCCGUAGGUCUGUGGUGAAGUACUCACACAUCAUCGGAAGGGCAGCAAGGUUGAUGUGGAGCCCCUCCAUGGUUGAUCCCCCUUAUGGCAGCGUACCGUGGAAGGCCUCCUGAUGGGAUAUCGUGAGAAUAGAAACUUGCGGCGGCGGAAAAAGUACUUCGGGUGGAUCACUGAUGUUAGGGGAAUAUUUGAGAAUUUAUAGAGGUGGAAUUAGGUUAAGAGGUACCAUGAGGGGCCCAAAAGCCUGGGGGGCGCCCCCCUGGGGUGCACCUCUCGAGCUUGUCGCUCCCUAGUGGCUCUUUAGGUCUUCUCCCGAAUCUUCUAGGGUCUCUUCUAGUCCAGAAAAAAAUAAUCCAAAGUUUUUUCUCUGUUUGGACUCUGUUUGAUAUUGAUAUCCUGAAAAUCGAGAAACAGGCAAAAAACAGCAACUGGUCGUAGGGCACUAGAUUAAUAGUUUAGUCCCAAAAGCUGAUAUAUAAUUGCAUAUAAAACAUCCAAUACAGAUACUAUAAUAGCAUGGAACAAUAAAAAAUUAUAUGUGCAUUGGAGACGUAUCAUGGACUUACCGACAACCAAAUCGCGAUUGAGAACAAAUGGAUCUUUAAGAAGAAGACAUAUGUUGAUGGUAAUGUCACUACCUACAAAGCUCGACUUGUUGCAAAAGGUUUUCAACAAGUUCAAGGGGUUGACUACAAUGAGUCUUUCUCAUUCGUAGUGAUGCUAAAGUCUGUUAGGAGUAUGUUAGCAAUUGUUGCAUUUUCGAUUAUGAAAUCCGGGAGAUGGGCGUCAAAACUGCGUUCCUUAAUGCAGCCAUUAAAGAAGAGUUGUAUAUGAUGGAACACAAAGGUUUUGUCGAUCCUAAGGGUGCUAAUAAGGUAUUCAAGCUCCAGCAAUCCAUUUAUGGACUAGUACAAGCAUCCCGGAGUUGGAAUCUUCACUUUGAUGAGGUGAUCAAAGGUUUUGGAUUUAGCCAAGCUUAUGGAGAAGCUUGUAUUUACAAGAAAGUGAGUGAGAGAUCUAUAGCAUUUCUAAUACUGUAUGUGGAUAACACAUUAGUGAUUGGAAAUGAUGUGUAACUUGAGUAAAGCAUAAAGGGAUAUUUGAACAAGAGUUUUUUCAAUGAAAGACCUCGGUGAAGCAACUUACAUACUGGGCAUCAAGAUCUAUAUAGAUGGAUCAAGACGCCUGGUAGGACUUUGACAAAGUACAUACCUUGACAAAGUUUUGAAUAAGUUUAAAAUAGAACAGUCAAAGAAGGGGUUCUUGCUGUCGGGGCUCUGGGACUGGGGGUACCUAGGCCCGUCCGCCUGCAGCCCAAUGCAAGGCAUCGUGAAAGGGCCUCCUGCCCUCACGAGGGGGGCAUCAGUGAGCGUCGUCAGGUAUCCCGAGGGCUUCAUGAUGGGCGGUCUCCUGAGGCUGCCUCCCUAGGCCCGUCGUGGGGCGGACAUCUCUAGGCUCGCCAGCCCGCCUCAAGCUGCACAUGGGUGACGCGACCCAUGAUGAACGUUGCCAGGAAGGCGCCAGGGUGCGUAGACUAGGACGGUUUCCUCUUUGGUGCUAAAGGGACAAGGUCAACACGCAGGUUCCUUAGGAAUCCCCCAAAGCCUGCCAUUCUGGUGCAACAACACCAGGACGACGGGCUCGCCAGGAUGGAGGUUAGCACCAUACCCACCUGUGCGUCACGACCAGAAGCUUUGCAGGCGACACUAUGAUGUUUGCUAGAACUACGUCGGUAUUUCCCCAAAGAGGAAGGGAUGAUGCAGUAUAGCGAUGGUAGGUAUUUCCCUCAGUGAUGAGACCAAGGUUAUCGAACCAGUAGGAGAACCUCCUCACACCACGUAAACAACACCUGCACACAAAUAAAAAAUACUCACAACCCAACGUGUUAAAGGAGUUGUCAAUCCCUUUCGGGUACGGUGCCUCAAGAUAGGCAAAUAACGUGAGGUAAAAGUGGUAGAUAGGAUAAAUAGAUCACGGAACAAAUAAAUUGCUGCAGGAUAUUUUUGUAUUUUUGGUUUAAUAGAUCUGAAAAUAAAUGCAAAGGAAAAUAGAUCGCAAAUGCAAAUAUGAUGAAAAGAGAUCCAGGGGCCGUAGGUUUCACUAGUGGCUUCUCUCGAGAAAAAUAGCAAAUGGUGGGGAAACAAUUACUGUUGGGAAAUUGAUAGAACUUCAAAUAAUCAUGAUGAUAUCUAGGCAAUGAUCAUUAUAUAGGCAUCACGUCCAAUAUUAGUAGACCGACUCCUUCCUGCAUCAACUACUAUUACUCCAAACAUCGACCGCUAUCCAACAUGCAUCUAGUGUAUUAAGUUCAUGAAAAAAACGGAGUAAUGCAAUAAGAACGAUGACAUGAUGUAGAUGAGAUCCAUUUAUCUAUUGCGAAGAUAUAGAUCCCAUCUUGUUAUCCUUAGUAGCAACAAUACGUAUGUGUCGGUUCCCCUUCUGUCACUUGGAUCAAGCACCGUAAGAUCGAACCCACUACAAAGCACCUCUUCCCAUUGCAAGAUAAAUAGAUCAAGUUGGCCAAACAAAACCCAAAUAUCGGAGAAGAAAUAUGAGACUAUAAGAAAUCAUGCAUAUAAGAGAUCAAAGAAGACCCAAAUAACUUUCAUGGAUAAAAACAUAGAUCUGAUCAUAAACUCAAAGUCCAUCGGAUCCCAACAAACACACCGCAAAAAGACUUACAUCAUAUGGAUCUCCAACAGACCAUUGUAUUGAUAAUCAAGACACACACACACACACACACACACACACAGAGAGAGAGAGAGAGAGAGAGAGAGAGAGGAAGCCAUCUAGCUACUAACUACGGACCCGUAAGUCUAUAGAGAACUACUCACGAAUCAUCAGAGAGGCACCAAUGGAAGUUGUGAACCCCUCCGUGAUGGCGUCUAGAUUGGAUCUGGUGGUUCUGGACUCUGCGAUGGCUGAGAUUGAUUUUCGUCGACUCCUCUAGGGUUUCAGGAAUAUUGGGGUAUUUAUAGAGCAAAGAGGCGGUUCAGGGGGCACCCGAGGUGGGCACAACCCACCAGGGCGCGCCUGGGCCUCCUGGCGCGCCCUGGUGGGUGCUGCUCCCCUCGAGCCACCCCCAGGUGCUUCCUUGGCCUACUGGAUGCCUUCUGGCCCAAAAAACCCUCUAGGAGUUUCGCCACGUUUGGACUCCGUUUGGUAUUGAUUUCCUACGAUGUAAAAAACAUGCAGAACACAACAACUGGCACUGGGCACUAUGUCAAUAGGUUAGUACCAAAAAAUGAGAUAAAAUGAUUGUAAAACAUCCAAGAAUGAUAAUAUAAUAGCAUGAAACAAUCAAAAAUUACAGAUACAUUGGAGACGUAUCAGCAUCCCCAAGCUUAAUUCCUGCUCGUCCUCGAGUAGGUAAAUGAUAAAAACAGAAUUUUUGAUGUGGAAUGUUGUCUAACAUGUUCUUCACAUUCCUUUUCUUUUAUAGCAUGGACAUAUGGACUUUUAUAUGAUUCAAAGCAAUACUCUAGUUUUGACAUGAAGACUUUAAUACUCAAGCAUAUCAACAAGUAACCAUGUCUUUCAAAAUAUUAACACUAAAGAAAGUUAUCCCUAGCCAAUCAUGCUCAACCAUUGAUCCAUUCAUGAAACACACUCGAAUAUUAGCUACACCCAAUGCUCAAAUACGAUCAUAGUUCCCCUUAGUUGGUGCUUUAUAAGAGAAGAUGGAGACUCAAAUUUAAAAAAAAUGUAUAAGUAAAAGAAAGGCCUUUCGCAGAGGGAAGUAGGGAUUUGUAGAGGUGCCAGAGCUCAAAGCAUAAAUUGAGAUAUAAAAAUAUUUUUGAGAGGCAUACUUUUCCCACCAACAAAAACGACUUGGAGCAUCCCAACACUUUCCAUGCUAGAUACAUCAUAGGCGGUUCCCAAAUAAUAAAUGAAGUUUAUUCCUUUUUCCACCAUUACUUUCACUUUCCACGGCUAGCCGAAUCCACAAUUGCCCUCCAUACCAACACUUUCCAAGGAAUUUAUUAUUUGACAACAUAAAGUAAAUUCAUUAUUCAUUUCGGAACUGGGCACCCCUAAUACAUUUUCCGUACUCGCGUGCAAUGACAAGUGAAUAAAUACUCAUCGCGAGAAUAACACAUCUAGCAUGGAAAAUACUGGCUACCCUUCACCGCCUCACGAGCGGUAGAGCACACAAAAGAGAAAUUUAUUUUGAAAAUUAGAGAUGGCACAUGCAAAUUUUCUUAGAACGGCAUGGAAAUACCGCAUACAGGCACGUAUAGUGGACUCAUAAGGCAAAACUGGUUUAAAGGGUAUUGGAUGCACAAGUAGUGAUCGUACUUAGUGCAAAAUGAAGGCUAGCAAAAGACUGAGAAGCGACCAACCAAAAAGCAAAAAAUCUCGUACCCAAGCAUUAAGCAUAAGUAACACCGAAUAAUGCACCAUAAGUAGGAUAUAAAUUUCAUUGCAUAACUAUUGACUUUCGUGCUUGCAUAGGGAAUCACAAACCUUAACAUCAAUAUUCUUACUAAAGCACAAUUACUCAUCAACAUGACUCACAUAUCAUAUCGUCAUAUCUCAAAACCAUUACUAAGAAUCAAGUUUAUUUUGUCCAAUGAUCUUCAUGAAUGUUUUUAUUGUAUCCUCCUUGGAUAUCUAUCACUUUGGGACUAAUUUCAUAUGUUGCUUUUGAUAAGCUCAUACAAAUAUAAGUGAAGAUCAUGAGCAUAAUUUCUUUUCUUUCUCUCAAAAUAAUCUAAGUGAAGCAAGAGGGAAUUUCUUAAAAUUUUACUAACUCCCAAAUAAAUCUAAGUGAAGCAUGAGAGCAUUUCUUCAAAAAUAACAAAGCACACCGUGCUCAAAAAGAUAUAAGUGAAGUACUAGAGCAAAUCCAUGGAUCUAAAAAUUUAAGUGAAGCAUAGGAGAAAUCAUACAAGACGCUCCAAGCAAAACUCGUAUUAUAUGACGAAUAAAAAUAUAGUUUCAAGUAAAAUACCGAUGGUUGUUAGAAGAAAGCGGGGAUGCCACUCGGGGGCAUCCCCAAGCUUAGUUGCUUGCUACUUAUUAUCUUGGGGUGCCUCGGCCAUCCCCAAUCUUAGCCUUUUGCUAAUCAUUAUUCCUCCAUCCAUCAUAGGAUCACUCAAAACUUGAAAACUUCAAUCACACAAAACUCAAACAAAACCUUCGUGAGAUCCGUUAGUAUAAGAAACCAAACCACUACUAUCAGUACUGUAGAAAACCUAUUAUUAUUUUGUUUUUGCAUUAUAUCUAAUGUAUUCCAACUUUUCUAUGGCAAAAACUCAUUGAAGAAAACCAUAGAAUCAUCAAAACAAGCACACAACGCAACGAAAACAGAAUCUGUCAAAAACAGAACAGUCUGUAGAAAUCUGAAUAUUUCAAAUACUUCUGUAAUUCCAAAAAUUCUUAAAUAAAUUGGUGGACAUGAGGAAUUUUUCUAUUAAUUUUCUUCAAAAAGAAUCAACUCAAAAUAACUCUUCUGUAAAAAAUGACAAAUAAUCUUGUGAGCGUGAAAGUUUCUGUUUUUCAGCAAGAUCAAAUAAACUUUCACCCAAGUCUUCCCAAAGUCCUUGCUUGGCUCAAACACUAAUUAAAACACAAAAAAACAAUCAUAAUAGUAGAAUAAUUGUGUUAACACACAAGAAUAGAAAGCAAAAAGCAAAAAUAAAUUUUAUAUAUUGGGUUGCCUCCCAACAAGCGCUAUCGUUUUACGCCCCUAGCUAGGCGUAAUGCGUAGGAUCUAAGUUUUGUCACUCUUAUCCUUGUUUCCCUUGGAGGUACUUGUGUCGAGAGGCUUCGUAAAUAAGACAUAAAACACAUUAUCCAUGGAAACCUUAGCACUAUAAGUUGUUUUUUAUCAUAACCCCUUUGAUUUCCGGCAGUGAUCCAAGAAUAGUGUUGAUUAACAUCGUUAAAAACUUGUUGGAUCAUAUCUAAAACUAGGACUUGCCUCUUAAGAUUCUCAUCAAAGAUUUGGUUAUCUCCAAGCAAAUGUCUUAAAGCAUAAUCACUAUUAUAAAGAACUUCAUCAAUCACGGGGUUUUCACGAUUCAUGCCAUAAAAAUCAAAGAUUUCCCUAGCUUCCUGUAUUAUGUAGUCAAAUUCAUUCAUCAAAAAAUGAGUGGCUAACUUUUUAGCUUUAGGAUCCUUUAUAACGGGCAACUCAUAGAACAAUAUUUGCAAGGUAGGAUGAGUAUGAAUAAAUCUAGUUUGAAGUUUCAGAACAAGUGCCGAAAUAGCUUAUGCAUAAGAUUUAGUUCUUUUAAGUAUAGGGAUAUCAUCAAGACUUAAUUUUCCAACACAAUUGAAAAAUUCUUGGAUGUGUUCUUUUCCCAUAAAAUUUCCUUGCCCCAAAACAAAAGUUUUGGCAUCCAUAAUACCCGUAUGCUCCAUUUUAGGAGUUAUGCCAUCAUAUUUUUUUGCCAUACCAAAGUCACCCAUCGUGACAAGGUCAAGAAAAUAAGAGAUCUGAAGAGAAAACGGCGGACGAAAAAGAGGGCAAAUAAAAUGGAAAAUUUUUGUGAAGUGGGGGACAGGAAAACGAUAGGGAAAUGGCAAAUAAUGUAAAUUGCGAGGAGAUGAGAUUUGUGAUUAGGAACCUGGUUAAUGUUGAAGAUCCUCCUCGGCAACGGUGCAAGAAAUUCCUUUUGAUGUCUGCUAGAACUACGUCGAUAUUUCCCCAAAGAGGAAGGGAUGAUGCAGUAUAGCGACAGUAGGUAUUUCCCUCAGUGAUGAGACCAAUGUUAUCGAACCAGUAGGAGAACCUCCUCACACCACGUAAAUAGCACCUGCACACAAAUAACAAAUACUCGCAACCCAAUGUGUUAAAGGGGUUGUCAAUCCCUUUCGGGUACGGCGCCUCAAGAUAGGCAAAUAACGUGAGGUAAAAGUGGUAGAUAGGAUAAAUAGAUCACGGAACAAAUAAAUUGCAGCAAGGUAUAUUUCUAUUUUUGGUUUAAUAGAUCUGAAAAUAAAUGCAAAGGAAAAUAGAUCGCAAAGGCAAAUAUGAUGAAAAGAGACCCGAGGGCCGCAGGUUUGACUAGUGGCUUCUCUCGAGAAAAUUAGCAAACGGUGGGAAAAAAAUUACUGUUGGGAAAUUGAUAGAACUUCAAAUAAUCAUGACAAUAUCCAGGAAAUGAUCAUUAUAUAGGCAUCACAUCCAAGAUUAGUAGACCGACUCCUACCUACAUCUACUACUAUUACUCCGCACAUUGACCGCUAUCCAGCAUGCAUCUAGUGUAUUAAGUUCAUGAAAAAACGGAGUAAUGCAAUAAGAACGAUGACAUGAUGUAGACGAGAUCCGUUUAUUUAUUGCGAAGAUAUGGAUCCCAUCUUAUUAUCCUUAGUAGCAACGAUACAUACGUGUCGGUUCCCCUUCUGUCACUCGGAUCAAGCACCGUAAGAUCGAAUCUACCAAAAAUCACCUCUUCCCAUUGCAAGAUAAAUAGGUGAAGUUGGCCAAACAAAACCCAAAUAUCGGAGAAGAAAUACGAGGCUAUAAGCAAUCAUGCAUAUAAGAGAUCAAAGAAGUCUCAAAUAACUUUCAUGGAUAAAAACAUAGAUCUGAUCAUAAACUCAAAGUUCAUUGGAUCCCAACAAACACUGCAAAAAUACUUAUAUCAUAUGGAUCUGCAAGAGACCAUUGUAUUAAUAAUCAAGAAACAGAGAGGAAGCCAUCUAGCUACUAACUAUGGACCCGUAGGUCUACAAAUAACUACUGACGCAUCAUCGGAGAGGCACCAAUGGAAGUGGUGAACCCCUCCGUGAUGGUGUCUAGAUUGGAUCUGGUGGUUCUGGACUCUGCGGCGGCUGGAAUUGAUUUUCGUCGACUCCCCUAGCGUUUUUGUAAUAUUGGGGUAUUUAUAGAGCAAAGAGGCGGUUCAGGGGGCACCCGAGGUGGGCACAACCCACCAGGGCGCGCGUGGGCCUCCUGGCGCGCCAUGGUGGGUGCUGCUCCCCUCGAGCCACCCCUAGGUGCUUCCUUGGCCUACUGGAUGUCUUCUAGCCCAAAAAAUCCUCCAAGAGUUUUGCUGCGUUUGGACUCCAUUUGAUAUUGGUUUCCUGCGAUGUAAAAACAUGCAGAAAAUAGCAACUGACACUGGACACUAUUUCAAUAGGUUAGUACCAAAAAAUGAUAUAAAAUGACUAUAAAAUGAUUGUAAAACAUCCAAGAAUGAUAAUAUAAUAGCAUGGAACAAUCAAAAGUUAUAGAUACAUUGUAGACGUAUCACACUACUGCAGGAUGCUGCUAACGCGAACUAUAGUCAGAGACCCUUCGACGAAACUGUGUGCGAUGCAAUAAUCGCAAAUGGUGAUGUAAAAAAUCGUCAAAAAAGGUGUAAAACAUUUGCGAUGGUGGCUGCAUCAAACAUGGUUCAGAUUUUAGUUGCGUGUGCGAUGCAGGGCAUACGAUUCAGUUUAAUUAACUGAUUGCGAUGAGGAGGAACAAAAGAAACGGGCAGCCAGAUGAAGGUGUGUGCGAUAUACAUCAUACGGUUCACUCGGAUGAACUAUUUGUGAUUAGGCAACACAAAAUAAAUGGUCGGCCAGAUCAAGGUGUGUGCAAUAUACGGCAUGCUGUUCAAUCAUAUGAACUGUUUGCUUUGAGCCAAGAGAACCGAAACGGUUCUAUAUAACAAGAUGUGUGUGAUAUGCGACAAACAGGCGUGUAAUCAGAAAUGUGUGCGAAGACUGAUAAUAACACAAACGAUUGCUGCUAAUAAGCCGUGUGUGUUGUGGGAAAACGCUUGGCCCUAUACAAUUGUGAGCGAUUGAUGAAAUCAUCACCGACGGGUUCCCCAGUAUGGUCCGUGUGUGAUGUUAUUACACAUAGAACAACAGCAUAUGUACUUAUAACUUAUAAGGACUUGAUUCCAUAAACAGAUUGAACAUCCAAUUACAUAUGUGGCUAGUACACACAUGACCUUUGCACACACCAAAGUACGUUCCAAAAUGCCGAGGAAACUCAAAUAAUGUAUAAAAAGGCAGAACGAACCGUGAAUAAUUUCAUAUUUUUAGGACGACGCUACUAUAGUUGCAUGUUUCCUCUGUAAAAUAAAUUAAGGUGGGAAGAGACAACGUAUGUCGUUGCGCACACAUAGGUGACAAGGUCCCUCUCGGAACCAUGAGGCUUUUUGAGAGAAGCUCUGAUUUGUAAGAAGUUUGUACCAAAACAUGUCCCAAAUUGGACUAUUUUUUUACCACAACAUGUUGGUGCUAUGACAUAACACCAUGCCAAGUUUCAUGAUUUUGAGGCGAGUUUUGGAUUUACAGUAAUUUUAAAACCAGGUUUCUCAAUGUUUACUGUCGAGUUGGCACCGCCCUGGAUAGGCUUUUUUCUCGUGGGUCCCAAAUGAUAAAUCCAAAUCUGUCACUACCAUGCAACUUUUCUUACUAAGAAUUAUAACCCGUUUGGUGUGCAAUCUAAAAAUAAGUUUGUGGGUGCUGGUGGGCGCUAAGAACUUGCGGUUCUGUAAUGAACAAAGAUCUUAAGGAUCUCGCAAGAGUGAUGUUCUUUCCCUAUGUUGUGAAUGCUUAUAAUAUUUAUGUCUUAAUUAAAGAAAUGACAAGCCAUUGGCCCAGUAUGAAAGAAGUAUGGGUCAAAGCCAAGUUGAAAAGGGCAACAAUAUCUAACUCCAGCUAACAAACAGUACAAAAGCACAAGGAUUAAUUGUUCAUCAGGUUUAGACAAAAUCCAGAUUGAACAGGACAAUGAGGUCAUCUAACUCAACCAAAGUUUUCGGCAGUCACAAUCAAAUGGAUCAGUCUUAUCCAUAAAAUCAAGAUCCCGACCAAGAAAUUCUACUGGUCCAUGAUGACAGGCCCUUAGGUCCACCUGAAACUUCUUUUUAUGCUGCUCAAUACUUGCAGCCAUAAGAAAUUUCUUGUCAAAAAACUUAAUCCUCACGAACAAUAGUGUCCUCGCAUUCAACAUGAAGAAUGUGACAAAGCUAGUGUUUGCAUUGUUGGAUGCAUAUCCUUCCAGUGUUACUGUCUUCAAACGAAUGUCAUGAGAUCUGACAAAAUCCUUGUGCUUCUUGAACCAUUGAUUGGUUAUACCUUCUAGUCCAUGUGUUAGUGCCUAAAUAAAGAUGAAGAUUGAAAAUAGUUAAUGUCUAAAAAAAUUAUGUUGAAAGAGUGAUAGUUGGACGAUUAAUUAUAGUGCAUUAUAUAUGGGCUUUCAAUGUGCGUGAAAUCAUCACCUUUAUAUACAAAUUCUCCAGACAUGGAAAACAUUGCAGCAAGCCAAUAAUAAUGUUCAUUUCAAAACACCACAUACUGAUAUGUAAGGUCUUGAUAGAAUCCACCAUCACUGAUAUGAUGGAAAAGCUCUUCAUUGAGCAUAGAACAUAGUAUUAGUAGCAAAAGUGUACUCCAAGAUGAUACUUAACUUAUGCGCACAAAUGAAAAAAGCAGAUUACAAAAGUUUACGUGAAUAAUAUACAGUACCUCAAUAGGUGUGGAGCCAAACACCAGAUCACGAAUUGCACCCAAGGUCUCCAGUUUAGGCGAAGAUACUACAGUUAUUUGAGAAGGUACUAUAACAGAAUCAAGGAGCAACCUUUGAAGUGAAGGGGCAUCUUUGAUGACGAGAUCAUGUCCAAAAAAACAAAUUCCCAUGCUUACAAGGUGGGGCGACUUUAUUUUGAGACAACAUAUACAAAUUUCCAUUCCAAAAACAAGCAACAAGCGCUCCAGGGCAGGGCAACUGGAGUGGAUGAUGAUGUGCAGUGCGGCCUCCGAUAGAUCAACCACCACAAGUGCAAGUUUUUUAGUAGUGGGAGUCGAAGCAUUUGUACCAGAUUGUCUGCUAGAUGGCACCGGGCGAACCUGGCAGUGUGGAGAGAGGAGGAAAACCACGAGAUGGACAUUGGUGAUGAGGGCACGGAUACAUCGGUUCGUUGUAUGUUACAUACGUAGUCAUGGUAGAACUCAAGCUGCUAGAGAUUAUCGAAUUAACAGUAUGUCACCAGGUGGCCACCAUGCAGGGUAUGUCCAGCAGGUAGCAUGCCGGGAUGCAGAUGCAUUGAACGGAGCCCUCGUGGGAGGAGAUGAUGGCUCCGGGGAGUUCAGAAUCAUCAUCGACAGAUAGCUGAUGAGAGUCGAGAUUAAGAGGCACGGUGCACCAUAGAGUGUGCCACCGAGAUGCGAGGACUUCUGUGCGGCAGCCAUCCUUGGUGGGGAGAAGGGAGAUGAUCUCCCCAAGCAUGCCGUUCAGGAGAUCGUUGAUGCGGUCCGCUAGAGAUUCUACUGGUUCCUCGGGUCUAGGGGGCCGCUUCUGGCCGCACAACCAGGUACAAGAUUUACAUCCGGCGGUGGCGCUGGCCGGAGCCUCAUCUGUGUACAUACCAAUCUGAAAGAAAAAAAUGUCAUAGCAUGUAGGACAUUCAAAAUCAAUUCUCAAGAUCAGGAAGAAAAAAGGAACAAACAUAUAUGUAGGACAUUCAAAAUCAAUUCUCAAGAUCUGGCCACGAAUUAUUAGCACGCAUGCUAACCCGAGUCGGAUUAUUAGCAAAAAUCAUUUCUAGAGAACAAACAAUUAAUCACUAACUCUAUACAGAUAACAUUCAAACAAUCAAUACACUACGUGCAUUUAACGGGUCUUAAUUACUCUGAUUUCAUGGACUGAGAGAACAUAACCAUACGAUUUGUAUUCUAGAAAAAUUAUAGAGGGGCAGGGGGAUUAACCAGAGAAAACAAAUGAUAUGUUUGCCGCACAAAUGGAUAUAUAGAUGACUAACUGGUUUUCCAUCGGAGUCGCAGUCGUUGCCGGAGUUGCUGUUGACCUCCGGCUCCGGCUGGGGGGGGCAUGACGGCGUCGACGAAAUCAAGGUCAUGCUGCUGCCCGCGCGAGACCUCGUCGGUGGUGAUGACAACCUCUGUGCCCAGCCUCACGCAUUACCCGGGUGCUUCACCAGCCCCAGUGUCGCCACUCCCUCCGAUGGUGCGCUUCGGUGGCAUCCUCAUACAAUCUGGAGUCCAAACGUUGGUGACCACUGUGGACCGGGGGUGCGGCCGCCUAUUAUGGCCAGUGGCUCGGGCGCGCAAUUAAUACGGACCAGUGGGAGCGAGGCAGGCUGCGGUCAAAAGCUGUUUCGCCUCCCGGUGAGCCUGCGCGGCGGACUUCUGCCAUUCCUACCAUCAUUCAACACAUUUACUCGCACGCCUCCCGUCAAUACGUACACCUGCACGCACGCCUCCCAGUAUGCGUGCGCGGCGGACUGCUCACAUGCGUCCCAUUAACUCAUGCCUGCUUGCAUGGUACACAGGGAGUGUAGCAGCACAUAUAUUUUUUGGUUUAUUUUCUGCCGCUUUACUGCUUAAUUGAAGCAUGGAACGGUCUAACGCACAGUCCGAAUAAAUAAUCCGCAUGAGAUACUGGUUGCCAGUUCUUAAUAAUCUCCCGUUUGUAAGAAGAUUAUAUCAAAAUGGGUCUUGUUGACGAAAAAAUACAAUAUUACAGUGUACUGUGUCCAUAUAUGAAACCACGAUAAGUUUCAUGAAUUUCAACUAAGUUUUGGAUUUACUGAAUUUUAAAAACAUAUAUUCUUAAUAUUUUGAAAUCUCUUGCAUAGGGAAACAUGCACCUAGGGACACAUAUGAUUUUGCAACCCAUUUUGGUUUUUGAUUUUUGCACAUUAAAUCCCUAGGAAAUCAAUCAAUGUAUAAAAAUGGUAGAAUGAUGCCUGUUUUAAAAAAGAUUAACACGACACUCCGCCUUUCGUCACAUGUUCAUUGCAGAAAAAGUUUGACAUGCCUCAAAGUGGCUGUGGUGAUGCGGGGUGUGUGUGUUUGUCUGUGUGGGGGUGGGGAGGGGGGAGGGGUCCGGCAGUACACUACGAGUCGUGAACCUCCGUGUGGGAUUAUUGAUCAUUUUGUGAGUCAUAUAUUCCACAUCAAAGUCGUGAAUGGUUAUUUAAAGCAUUACACAUCCCUUUCAUACAUAAUGUUGGGGCCACAUGCAUGCUUUGGUGGUCCUCUCGAACACUCACCCUCGUGCGGUUAUUAGUGACGUGCCCAUUCCUUAGGCCACAAAGGUUUUUAGUUUCCACCGACAAUGAGAGGCAUUAAUUUGACCAAAAGGUGGAUUCAUCUUGGCAUGUGUGUGGUGUUGAUCACGUUGGGAUUCCAUAUCAAAGUUCGAGCACAUGCGUACACACUCCCGCCGGCUUGAAGUGAGGGGGCUACACGCAUCGUGGUGUAAUGUGUUUCCGAUUUGCGAAGCAUGUGCCACGUCAAAGUUGUGCAUUGGGUAUUCAAACAUCACAUAACACACGGGGGCAUGCAUGCGGUGGUUUUGUCCUAUGACAUCACUCGCAUGUGCCUCUCUCUAUGGGCCCACGAGGUCGUCGUCGACCAGUUGAACAUACAAGGAGAGAGAGGCUAAUUUGACCAACGAGGAUGGUUCUUUUUUGGUUUGUGUUACGUAUAUGCACGGUAUAUGAGUAUGUACAUGUCAAAGAGGGGGCAACAUGAAUACUCUAUAUAUAUGCGUGUCAUAACCUUGCUCCAUGUGGGGACUUUUCGGUUCCUGAGGCAGGUCCAACAUCAAAGUUGUACAUUAUAUUGGUAUUCAAAAUCACACAAUACCAUGCAGGCGGUGGUUUCCCUAUAUACUGGAACUCACUCGCGUGUGGCGCUUCCAUCCAUGGGCAUGCGAGGUUGUCCUCCAUCCCUAUGACCCAAUGAGAGAGAGGUUAAUUUGAUCAUGAAGGAAUGAUUCUUUUUUGGUUUGUGCUAUACAGUAGAAGUACAUAUAUACCACGCGUUGAAUGAGGGCGUACAUAUAGCACAUGCCACGUGUCAUGAACCUCACGCUCUCUCUGGGGACUUUUUGGUUUCCUGUAUACGUGGUUCCACAUCAAAAUUGUGCAUUGCGUAUUCAAACAUCACACAAACAGCUCUUUGGGUCACAUGCAUGCAGAGGGUGGUACGUAGUCCUAUAUAGGAUGACCACUCGUGUGCGACGUAUGCUUCUCUUCUGUGUUGGGCCCACAAGUUCGUCAUCCAUCAAUUUGACCCAGCGUGAGAGAGGUACGCGUUUGAUGAAGAAGGAGGAUUAUUUCUUUUAGGGUUGUGUUACCAGGUGUGUAUAUAUAGUACGUGUCGGGGGGGGGGGGUGACUGAGGGAGUCCUGGACUAAGGGGUCCUCGGGCGUCCGGUCUAUUCUAUACGGGCCAAACUAAUGAGCCGUUAAGAUACAGGGAAGAUGACCAUCUCUCGUGUCCGGUUAGGACUCCCGUUUGCGUGAAUGGUAAGUCUAGGUGUCUCGAUAUACUAUUUCCUUUCUGCUAAACCGACUUUGUACAACCCCAAGCCCCUCCGGUAUCUAUAUAAACCGGAGGGUUUAGACCAAAGGCAAGAUUAUAACAUUGAUAGGCUAGCCAAGCUAGGGUUUAGCCAUUACGAUCUCGAGGUAGAUCAACUCUUGUAACCCCUAUACUCAUUGAAUAUAAUCAAUCAGGAGUAGGGUUUUACCUCCAUUAAAAGGGCCCGAACCUGGGUAAACAUUGUGUCCCUUUGAUCAUUGUUACCAUCGAUCCUCAGACAUACAACUUGGACCCCCUACCCGAGAUCUGCCGGUUUUGACACCGACAUUGAUGCUUUCAUUGAGAGCUCUGUUGUAUCGUCAACAGAAGGAUUGAUGGCGCGCCUAUUCAUCAAUGAUGACGCUGCACCGAGGGAAACCUUUCUUCCCAGACAGGUCUUUGUGUUCGGCGGCUUCGUGCUUCAUGCCAACUCGACUAGCUGCCUCGAGCAGGUCGAAAGUUACUGCCCCGGCCACCAGAUCAGGUUUAUGAACCUGAACUACAUCACCGAUGUUCGAGGAGAUCUAAUCUUCGAGGGGUUCGCAGCCUCGGUUGCCGCCCCUUGCCCCCAUGAAGGAAGCUCUUAGAAUCCGCUCUUAGAUCCCGUCCAGGGAUCGACGCUCACACCCGUAUUGGCCUUAGAUCCAUGGCGGGUCGUAUCGUCCAAGGACGGGAGGAUCAGCCCCGCAAGACUCUACCAUUGAACUUCCGACCGGAGACCCAAAUGCGGUUUUGGACUCGCCUCUAGACGACAACUCCGAACUAUCGAGGUCUGCGUCGAUUGGGCCCGAUCAGGUGUCUCUCACCGAACUUAGCCCUAUAGAUCCGCAGACUCCCACCCAGCUUUCGCCCUUGGAAGAAGCACUAGGUUUAAUGUGAUCUCUUGCCAUUACAGAAGCUUUCCCUCUAAACUGCACCCAACAUGGGAUGGGGGCUGGGAGCGGAGAAUUUUAUGACCCGCCCACCACCCACUUAAUAGCCACUAUCGAGGAUUUAACUGACAUGCUAGACUACACAUCCGAAGACAUCGACGGUAUGGACAACGACGCCGAUGCCGAAUCAGGCCAAGUCCCACCCAUCACAAGGCGUUGGACGACCACUUCAACCUAUGACGUAUACAUGGUGGACACUCCUGAGAAGAAGGACGAUGAUGGCAUUCAAGAUCCAGGGAAGGACAAGCCCAUCGAUGAACCACCAAAACGCCGAUGUCAGCGGCACCACUCACGAUCGCGUUGGGCGAAGGAUAGUAAUACUGGUACCGGAGGUAAUGAGACUCUGGAUAACGCCGAAGAUCCCGAACACCCCGUCGAGCCCACGUCCGAACAGGAUGAGAGGGAGGAGGGUCAGUAUAGCCCCGAACAUGUUGAUCAUGAAGAUUCGUAGGACAACAACUAUAUGCCAGUCUCCAAAGAGGAUGUCAGCCUCGGUGACGAAGAUUUUAUCGUCCCAGAGGAAGCUCUCGAGCAAGAAUGCUUCAAGUGACAACUUAUCGCCACCAUGCGGAGACUGAAAAAGAAAUAGCAGCAUCUCAAAGCUAAAUAGGAUACACUCGCUAAAGGUGGACGAAGGUUCUUGCCGCCGAGGAGUACGACCCCGAGCGACCUAUAAAAAGUUACCCCAAGCGCAAGUUGCUACCACAAUUCGAUGAUGAAGCCCUUGAGCCAAUACCGUCGAAAUACAAUCAGGCAGAUCAACCAGACCGACCACAAUGUGGACAGGAUAAAGCGGCACAUCAAGCCGAACACCAGCCCGCACCCCCUCGCCGAAGAGGCAAGGAGACAGCAGCUGCGGGCUAUACAUAUGACUUGCACUAGGACUUGGCCAAUAAAAUUGGCCAUAGCAUAUCGAUCUAUGAAUCAAGAGGCCAUGUCUUGGCAUGAGAUAAUGGCUAUGAAGUCCAGCGUGAUGAACAUUACAAUAUUCAGGAUCGUCACCGAACUCAGAUGUCAUCCGAUGUCCACCGUGAUGUUGCACGGUAUAGGGGCGCUGCACACCCUAUGUGCUUUACCGAUGAGGUAAUGCAACACCAGUUUCCACAAGGGUUCAAACCCGUAAACAUUGAGUUGUACGAUGGAACGAUAGAUCCGGCUGCCUGGAUCGAAGACUUUCUUCUCCACAUUCAUAUGGCUCGUGGAGACGACCUCCGCGCCAUUAAAUACCUUCCUAUAAAGUUGAAAGGACUAACACGGCACUGGCUGAACAGCCUCCCAGAGAACUCCAUUGGAAGGUGGGAAGAUUUAGAAGAUGCUUUUUGGACCAACUUUUAGGGCACUUAUGUCCGGCCACCGGAUGUUGAUGACCUAAAUCACAUAAUCUAGCAACCUGGAGAAUCGGCUCGCAAGCUUUGGAAUCGGUUCCUAAUUAAGAAGAACCAAAUCAUGGACUGUCCGGACGCCGAAGCGUUAGCAGCCUUCAAACACAACAUCCAUGAUGAAUGGCUCGCCCGACACCUCGAGCAUGAGAAGCCGAAGUCCAUGGCAGCCUUAACUUCACUUAUGACCCGUUUCUAUGCGGGUGAAGUUAGCUGGUUGGCUCGUAGAAGCAAUAGCUCGGGCAACCCCGACACUUCUGAGGCCAGGGACGGCAAUGGUAGACCACGCCGCAAUAAAAACAAAUGAUAGAGCAGUAAUGACGAUGCAGAUGAUACGGCAGUCAAUGCUGGAUUCAGUGGUUCUAAAUCUGGUUAGCGGAAGAAACCUUUCAAAGGCAACAGGGACAGUCCAUCUAGUUUGGACAAAAUCCUUGAGAGGCCCUAUCAGAUUCAUGGCACACUAGAUAAGCCUGCUAACCACACCAAUAGGAACUGUUGGGUUUUCAAACAGGCCGGUAAGAUAAAUACCGAACACACUGGAAAGGGACCUCCAAGUGAGGACAAUGAUGAGCCCUGUUAGCCGAACACCGAGGGCCAAAAGCAGUUUCCCCCCGAGGUGAAAACAGUGAACAUGAUCUAUGUCACUCACAUUCCCAAAAGGGAGCGCAAGCGCACAUUAAGGGACGUCUACGCCGUAGAGCCUGUCGCCCCAAAAUUCAAACCAUGGUGAGCAUGUCCGAUCACUUUCGAUCGCAGGGAUCACCCAACCAGUAUCUGUCAUUGGGGUUCGGCCGCCCUGGUACUCGAUCCAAUUAUCGAUGGAUACCAUCUUACUUGAGUCCUUAUGGACGGUGGCAGCUGUCUCAACUUAAUUUAUCAAGACACUAUCCGCAAGAUGGGCAUUGACCCAUCAAGAAUCAAGCCUAGUAACACUGCCUUUAAAGGUGUGAUACCCGGCGUGGAGGCCCGUUGUACGGGCUCACUAACACUGGGGGUAGUAUUCGGCUCCCCAGACAACUUCCGAAGUGAAGAACUGAUCUUCAACAUCGUCCCCUUCCGCAGUGGUUAUCACGCACUGCUCGGACGAACCGCUUUCGCCCGCUUUAAUGCAGUCCCGCACUAUGCUUAUUUGAAGCUUAAGAUGCCCAGACCACACGGUGUCAUUAUAGUCAAUGGAAAUAUGGAGUGCUCCCUCCGUACUGAAGAGCAUACCGUGGCCCUUGCAGCCGAGGUGUAUGGCGACCUUAUCAAGCCGUAUAAUUUGUUGGACAUUAAAGCCAACAACAUCUCUAAAUGAGUCUGGUCCGCGCAUCAUUGCGAUAACUCGACAAAUCCGGACCCCGAUUAGCAAUUCGGCAUCCGCCGAUCACCCCAUAAGGUUGCGGCUCACAUACCGCACAUACAUAACUACACACUCAAAAUACCUUAGCAACGCCGGAGGCGGGCCGAGGGAAAAAUUCCAUAGUACGGCUUGACCCUAUUGGGACCUCAUACAUUGUUUUUCACUACAGGUUCAUUAAGAGCCCUAUUUGUUGUACGGUUGCAUCAGGGAUCCUUUCAAGGCUAGUGUUUCCCUCCUUUACGACCAACCAUCAAAUACUCCUAUCAAAGGAUUUGUUACUAAGGAGAAAUGGCGCAGACGUGCGACAGGGCAUCACUAGAGUCUUCGAACUAUUACUUUUAGGCCCUGUGCUAGACUUUCCCUUAUGUAAUAUUUUUAGGCAUGUAACAUGACCUUAAUAUUCAUGGCAUUGUCUGUCGAAGCACACCUCGACUUAUUGAUAAGGAUAUAAAGGAAGCAGAUGAUCACCACCUUUUUGUUGGGCUGUUAUAUUCUCUUGUCAUGUGUAUUCCCUCCUUGUUUUCGAAUGACAUACAUGCUUCAGCACGGCCUUCAUACCAGGGGAUGUACUCGGCCUCGCAAACUCUUAAGUCUGAACACCUAUAGGGAACUCUUCGGCGUCCCGGAUAUUGCACUAUAUGCAUCGGCUCAGAAUCAUGUCUUUGGUCUAUAGUUGGGUUGCCCGGCUCCUGUGUUUGCCACCUUACGUUUCGCAAGUUCGGCUAAGGUAGCAAAGGGAGAACUACUGCGAUUGUAUUUCUGGUUCGUCCGGUUAAGUACCUCAAUAGAGAAAGCCGAUAAUUGACUGUCAUGAUAGGCGAGAGCGGGUCAGCGAUCCGGUGACUUAGUGUUAUACUACAAAUCGUUCGCGAGUUAUGCCGUGUUAUACGAGGGGCUGGGAUUUGACCAGCCAUGUUGCAAAUGCACCAUAAUCCAGAUUUCCGUUCAUGCAACAGGGGCUAGUACUUAGCCCCACCAAUGGACUCUUAUGGCUAGGUGAAAAUAAUAAAGCCACAUAGUCUGAUUGCCUAGUUCAUUGCAAGACGCCUCCUAUGUAGGAUCAAUACGUUGGAUAAAGUGCAGACAUGCGUUCCCAAACACCCCUGUAAUAUUUACAUGGGGGCAGAAGCGGACGACUGGUAAUUUUAGACUUAUAAAAUAAAUGGCCAAACAGGAGGAUAAACUAAAAAAAUCAUAAAGUGCAAGCAUAAAUAUUUCACAUUAUGAGUUCAUUACAUGGUUCUUACAAACCGGACUCCACUACUCAAAUAUGAUAUCCUUUGAGCAUUGACCCUCUACAAUGUGGGCUCCCUCGAGGACCUCACUGAAGUACCUCUCUGGCCUCCGGUGAUCCUUGCCUUCAGGCGUCCCUAUGGUGGUAAUUUCAGUGGCCUUCAUCUUCGCCCAUUGCACCUUGAUGCGGGCAAAGGCCAUCCGAGAACCUUCUAUGCAGGUCGACUGCUUUAUGGCGUCAACCCGAGGGCACACUUCGACCAGCCGCUUCACGAGUCCGAAGUAGCUGCUGGGUAUGGGCUCGGCUGGCCAAAGUUGGACUAUUACGUCCUUCCUGGCCAACCCAGCCACCCUAUGCAGCUCGGUCAACUGCUUCAGCUGAUCAUUGAGGGGCGCCGGAUGCUUUGGCACAAGGUACUGCGACCAGGACAACUUCUCUAUUGAGCUCCCCUCUUCGGCUCGGAAGAACUCUGUGGUGUCAGCAACACUCCCCGGCAGAUCCACAAACAUGCCUGGAGAACUCCAAACUUGGGUCAGCAUGAUAUAUCUCUUACUGACAAAUUUAUUAUGUAGAAGAAAAGCCUUACCAGCUACUAUCUUCCUCGUCUGCUGGAUCUCCUGGCGGGCGCUCUGGGACUCAAUCCGGGCUUCCUUGAUAUCCUGGAGAGCUUUGGCGAGUUCGGAGGUUUGCUCCGAACUCUUCUGCUCCAAGGACUCACACUUGGUAAUGGCAUCCUUGAGUUGUUGCUCAACUUCGCCUACCCGAGCCUCGUGUUUCCGGCGGGAAGUUUGCUCCACCUCCAGCUCCUUCGCCGCCUUGUCAGCGGCUGACCUGCUCAUCUCCGUGACUUUCUUGGCUUGGGCAAGUGCGCUCUUGAGGGACUCAACCUCGGCUGCGCCAACUAUGAUUACAAUCAUAAAAUUACAACUUUUGGUAUGUAAGUUCCGCAUACCUUGCAUUUCGUCAAACAGCUUAUUGACGCGGUCGAGCUUCUCAUCGGCUAAUCUAAUUUUUCGAUUGAGCUCAGAAACCUCUGCGGCUUGGGCAGUAGCCGACAACAUGGAUGCAUGUCCCACACAAUAGCAUAGUACGUUAGUAACUUGUUUUGGGAUCCUCUGUCCGGAUUGUUCUAAUCCGGACAGAGUCUUAGGGGCUACUGUCUAUACAUAGGUUUAUCCUUCUAUAUAAAGAAAACUUGUUAGAAAAUUACAUCCCAUACCUCAAAGCCUGUCAGUAGGCUGUUGAAGGCUCCGUUCAGUCCGCUUUCCGUAGACUGAAUCUUUUCCAUAACCGCACGCAUCAAGGUGUGGUGCUCCUCCACGAUGGAAGCAUGUUGCAGCGCUUCCUCCAGAGUAUGAGCGGCCUUCGGAUUAAUAGAGGCAGCCGAUUGAGCUGCUGCUCCCCCCCUCUGUCAAAGGGGGUUGUUGAUCCAGACCCAGAGCCACAUUGGUCUCCGGGACGGUGUUCGGUGAGGGCCCAAAUUGUUGAGACCAUCCACCCUCGGUGGUUGUGGGGGUCGUCGUGCCCCGAUCGGCGACAUCCGAGGUAUUAACCAUGGGCGCCUUCUAGACAGCCUCGUCCGCCCCUCCUCGGCCAGGGGAGGUCCUUUGGGAUGACACCUCAGUGUCCUGCAUGGCAUGGGGAGAGAGGGCUGGCGAUGGUCCGACACUCUCUGCCUCUUCAGGCGCCAGAGAGUCCCCCCACGAGGACGAGGUGUUCGGAAUAUUGCGUGGAGGGCUCAAAAGUAAACGAAGACAUAAUUUAUAUGACAAAGGAAGGUAAGCGGAACCUGAACAAGUAAGGUUUUGAUACUUACAAUUCGGCCAGGGGCUUAACCCUGGGGGCUCUACUCGGGCAGUGUUCGGACUCUGAGUCCGAACUAACCGAGAAGGUAAUCUUCUUCCUCUUCGGUGUCGCCUCCUCCAGAUUCUCGAAGGCCGUCCUAUUUUUCCUCCUUGUUUUGCAAGGGGAGUCUCUCUCCACCACCUCCUCCUCCUCCUCUUCGUCCUCAUCUUCCUCAUGAGAGGAGAUGACCUUGAUUUCUCCGGACACAAUGUCCGAAGGACCUCUGUAGCGGGGCCCGCCCUUUGGCUCCUUGCCCUUCUUCUCUUGCGCUUGGUAGGGCACCAGGACCAGCAUCUCCGCUAGCUGGGGAGUGGCUGGGUCUUCGGGCAAUGGAGCCGGACUCUUGAUCCGCUCCGCUUUCUUUAUCCAGCCCUAUAAAGAGGUGGGUUGAUAAGAUUCAUAGUGGUCAAAAAUAUAGGUCGGACAUAUCUUCGGAAAACUAAUACUUACUGGAGUGGCCGGAUUCUCGGCUUCAAGACCGAUAUCUUCGGUCUCCAUGGGCCAGCUCUUCUGGGCCUUGAAAAGCAGCUUCCAAAUACCUUCAUGCGUUGUGCCAAGGAAGUGCUGCAGGGUCUACGACUCCUCCGGAUUGAACUCCCACAUGGGGGAAGUCCGGCGUUGGCAGGGGAGGAUGCGCGAAAGAGCAUGAUAUGCACCACAUUGGUGAGGCCGACAUUCUUACCCAGCACGUUGGUGAUGUGCGUUUGCAGCGUCUGCACCUUCGUCUGGGACCCCCAGUCGAGGCCCUUAGCAGUCCAUGAAAUGAGCCUUGGUCCGGAUCUGAACUACGGAAUCGCCGCUCAGUUGGUGCAGCGCGGCUCGGUGAUGUAAAACCACUCUUGGUGCCAGACCUUGACGGUCUCGACAAAGGCCCCCUUGGGCCAUGUGGCGUUGGGCAUUUUGCUUAUCAUAGCCCCACUGUAGUCCGUGUGCUGCCCGUCAACCACCUUCGGCUUCACGUUGAGGACUUUUAGCCAUGGGCCAAAGUGUGGGGGGAUGAAGAGUAAAGCCUCGCACACGACGAUAAACGCCGAGAUGUGAAGGAAAGAGUUCUGGGCUAGAUCAUGGAAAUCUAGCCCGUAAUAGAACAUGAGUCCCCAGACGAAGGGAUGGAGUGGAAAACCCUCUAAGUAAAUAGGGGAGGAAAACGACCCUUUUGCCGGGCUCUGGAGUGGGGAUGAUUUGACCUUUGGUGGGGAGCCUGUGUGCGAUGUCUGCAGCUAGGUACCCCGCGCUUCGGAGAUUCUUCACCUCCUUCUCUAUAACGGAGGAGGCCCCCCACUUUCCCUUGGAACCGGAUCUAGCCAUGGCUGGAGAGGGUGGUGGGGGUGGGGAAGAAGGAAGCCUUUUCGGGCGCUAAGAGCUUGGGAGAUUGGAAGGCAGAGGCUAGAAGAAGGAGUGGGAAAGAAAGGAGGAAUCUAUUGCCCUCUUAUAGGUGGUAAAAAUGCCAAUCGUCCCCCCACUUAUGCGUCGAAACUCGCCUGUUCCCAACAUAAGCACCCGCCGUAAACGGUGGGAUUACCCAAAUCUUAUUAUGAGCGAUCCCGUAAUAAGUGGGCAUGAUCUCUAUUUUGACAAGACGGGCCGAGGGGGCUCGACCUCGAAACGCGGAACGUGGAGUGUGAAAAUGAUUCAAAAUGCUGAAGGGUCAAGUCUGACGCUUCAUCGGAAAAAAGUUGCCAGUAAAGACACUGUUCCUAUUUAUUAUAUAUUAUUCCUUCGCAGCUAAGGGUUGUGUUAAUUCUGCAAAGCCGAAUACAGUUCUUUUAUGGAGGAAAGCUGAUGUAUAUUGUUCAGGGAACCCGCCUCACAAUGUCGAAGACAAUCUGCACGCCGAACACGUCGUCAUUGAAGACUAGUUCAGGGGAUACUGAGGGAGUCCUGGACUAAGGGGUCCUCGGGCGUCCGGUCUAUUCGAUACGGGCCGGACUAAUGCGCCUUCAAGAUACAUGGAAGAUGACCACCUCUCGUGUCCGUUUAGGACUCCCGUAUGGGUGAACGACAAGUUUAGGUGUCCGGAUAUACUAUUUCCUUUCUUUUAAACCGACUUUGUACAACCCCUAGCCCCUCCAGUAUCUAUAUAAAUCGGAGGGUUUAAACCGAAGGCAAGAUCAUAACAUUGAUAGGCUAGCCAAGCUAGGGUUUAUCCAUUACGAUCUCGAGGUAGAUCAACACUUGUAACCCCUAUACUCAUUGAAUGUAAUCAAGCAGGAGUAGGGUUUUACCUCCAUUAAGAGGGCCCAAACCUGGGUAAACAUUGUGUCCCUUUGAUCAUUGUUACCAUCGAUCCUCAAACAUACAGCUUGGGCCCCCUACCCGAGAUCUACCGGUUUUGACACCGACAGUGACCAGCUUGGUCCAUCACUUUCACCGACAGUGCAAGAGAGGUUAACUAAUUUGACUUAGGAGUGGAUUAAUUUUUUGUUUUGUCUUGAUAUAGAUCAUGAUGUGAGAUUACAUAUAUAUAUAAUAGCGCAUCUGUACACAUGAAUCCAUCCCGCUGGAUCUAAGGGGGGGAGCACACGGCAUGUCAUGAACGACCUCUUGCUCUGUGUGGGGACCUCUGCGAUUUUCAACUCAUGCACCACAUCAAUGUUGUGCAUUGGGUCGGGUAUUCAACACAUAUGCAUGAAUCACACACCUCCGUCAAUAUGUUCGGGACACACACAUACAAUAAUGGUUGUCUUUGGACACACUCUCACUCCCUUGGUUAUGGGCGGCAAGCCUAUAUAUAUUCGUGGGCCUGCGUGGACGUCCAUCAUUUCGACCAACGACGAGAAAGUUUACCAGGGUGGAUAUAUUCUUCUUCUUUGCUUUGAGCUACCGUAUAGUAGGUCGACCCAGUCCAUGCCUAAUUAAGUUUGAGUGCAUGCUAUUUGUCGUGAUCCCUCGCUCGGCAUGGGGAUUUUACGGUUCCAAAGCAUGGUGCCACAUCAAAUUUGCGCAUUGGGUAUUCAAACACCACACACACCACUUCCAUAUACAUACUUGGGCCACAUGCACAUAGUGGGUUUGUCUUCAUACAAUACUCCCUCAUGAGGUUAUCGGCAACAAGCUAGCCCAUUUUGCGGGGCCGUGUGGAUGUCCAUCACUUUGACCAACAACGAGCGGGGAGAGAUUGUACGACCAAGUUAGAUUCUGCUUGGUCCGUGUUACAAUAUGUCUUGNNNNNNNNNNNNNNNNNNNNNNNNNNNNNNNNNNNNNNNNNNNNNNNNNNNNNNNNNNNNNNNNNNNNNNNNNNNNNNNNNNNNNNNNNNNNNNNNNNNNNNNNNNNNNNNNNNNNNNNNNNNNNNNNNNNNNNNNNNNNNNNNNNNNNNNNNNNNNNNNNNNNNNNNNNNNNNNNNNNNNNNNNNNNNNNNNNNNNNNNNNNNNNNNNNNNNNNNNNNNNNNNNNNNNNNNNNNNNNNNNNNNNNNNNNNNNNNNNNNNNNNNNNNNNNNNNNNNNNNNNNNNNNNNNNNNNNNNNNNNNNNNNNNNNNNNNNNNNNNNNNNNNNNNNNNNNNNNNNNNNNNNNNNNNNNNNNNAAUUUGCGAGGCACACGUGACACAUCAAAAGUUAUGAAUGGUAGUCAAAUAUCACACACCACACCCUUUUCAUACAUAUAGUAGGGCCACCUGCAUGUGGUUCGUAUGUGGUCUAGCCCUUCUCGCGCCACAAGCACACAAUUGUGGGUCGGCACACAGUCCACCUUUAUUGGGAAGCGAAAAGGGAAGUUUGACCAUAUAUAUAUAUAUAUAUAUAUAUAUAUAUAUAUAUAUAUAUAUAUAUAUACACACAGACGGUCUAUUCUGCUAAUAUUAGCAGAAUAACUAUUCUGCACACCACUUCCACACUGCACGCUGAACGCAAGUGCACGUCAUUCUUUGAACCAAGUGUGCUGCAGUACUCACACGAGUGAACUUCUCGUCGGAAAAAACUGCAUGCGUUAUUUUUUUGGUACUGUUUUCGCUCUAAUUUUUUAACCGUUUAUCGGAAUGAGGCGUGUAAUAUACCGUUGAAAAGCUAUGGAUUAGGCGCAACUUCGACAUGUUGAACACUUUUCGAGAUUCCACACGGUUUAAGAGCAGUUUUGAAAAUGGUGUGGCGGAUGACGAGUGACAGCGAGUGUUUUUUCGUGUUUUGUUCUAAACCACUUGUCGGAAUGAAGCAAAUGAUAGGCCGUUGGAUAGAUAUCAUUGAGGCGCAUCUUUUCCAUAUAUAAAUCUUUCUCUAAUUCGUUACGGUUUAAGAGCAGUUUCAAAUUUCCUAAAUCGCGGAAUUUUGUUUUUCAAGUUUUUUAAAAUUUUCGGUACUGUUUUCACUCCAGUUUUUUAACCGUUUGUCGAAACGAGGCGUGUGAUACGCCAUUGGAAAUCAACGGACGAGGCACAACUUUCGUAUGUUGAAACAUUUUUGAGAUUCCUUACGGUUUUAUGUUAAUUUUGAAAAUCGUGUGGUGAAUGAUGAGAGGCGGCGGCCGGUUUUUCUUAAUUUUUUUCAAACCGCUCGGCGGAAUGAUGCAAAUGAUACAUCAUCGGAAAGAUAUCGACGAGGCACAACUUUUUCAUGUAGAACACGCUCUCUAAUUCCUUACGGUUUAAGAGCAGUUUUAAAAUUACUAAAAUGCGGAUACUCUGUUUUUUGAUACACCAAAACCGACGUGUGUACUGCAUCAGACAGAAGAACACACUGCUUCGGACAGAAAACCGCACUACAUCAGACAGUCAAGCGAACUUCAUGAUUUGUCUUCUCGGGCGUAAAUUUUCUCAGAUGAGCUUUUUUGUGAGUUGUUGUUGUCACUUUUUUAUGAACGACAAAAGAACGCACUGCUUCGGACGGAAAGCCACACUGCAUCAAACAGUCAAGCGAACUUCAUGAUUUGUCUUGUCGGGCGUAAAUUUUCUCAGAUGAGCUUUUUGUGAGUUUUUGUUAUCAUUUUUUUAUGAAAUACAGGAGAACGCACUGAUUUGGAUGGAAAACCACACUGCAUCAGAGAGUCAAAUGAACUUCAUGGUUUCUUUCGUCAUUUUAUAAAAAAAUAGUUUUCUUUUGACUUUUUUUUUCUAACAAGUGGACCGCAAAGACUGAGCGAGUGAACUACGUCUGAUAAGAAGCGAACCUCUUCGAGAAUGUUUCGGUUUCCGUUGAAUUUCUUUAGUCUCAUCUGGACUACAUGGUCAAUGUUUAGUGAGCUGCAUGAAAGGGAAAAAUGGACUGCAUUAAAAAUCACAUUGCAUCAAAAGAAUGUUACCUCCUACCAACAUUAUUUUUUGAUUUUUUAAAGAACAAGUGAACCGCACAAAAACACAAAGUACUGCACGAUCGAGCCAAACAAAAUGCACGCACACAUUCUGUUUUUGAGCCACUAUCUAUGGUCGCUGAUGAUGUUCAUGGGGCACAAUACACCCAUCAAUUGUUUUACACAACCACACAUACAUACAUACACAGAAAAUCAGCACUAGCACCUGCCAGAGCUGCAAGAGAGGAUCAUCAGAGCUGUAUUUGGGGACCAACCGAGCUGCACAAAAUCAGAAACCUGCAAAUGUAGCUAACGAUGACACAAAUCUGUAAAAUCAACAGAAAAACUAGUAACUGGUCGCCCAACCGCACCGCACCAUGAGCACAAGCAAACUGCAGUGCUGUGCACUAGCAAAAUCUGAAGAAUUUUCUUUCUGAACUGCAAUAGAACCAGCACGCCGACGCCUGCAAACGAAUUUGGAACAUGCAAGAGCUGGGCUCGUGCAAGUGUACUGCAUAGCUGGCCGGAGUCAAUGAUCCCCACGGCAACGCUGCUGGAGCUACUCAUCAAGGGGAAGGACCCCUUUUGUGUGACCCCUCACCCGCAAGCCACCGGAGCAGCAACUCCCAACCGCCGGCACACCAGCGAUUGAAUCUAGGGGUGGGGGGGGGAGGUCUGUGGUGGCGUCACGUUGCAGAUCAAGGGGGAAUGGGAGGAGCGCACCAGGACGGCGCGGAACGGCACAGACGCCCUGGUCGAUGGGGAGUAGAGCACACCAAGUAGCUGCAAGGCCAACCGAAUUGCACGCCGACCCUUCUCCUUCUCCGGCACGCUGGCCCUGCUCUGCCAGCCCUCGCGCCGCCGCCCUGCCCAUCCCUUGGAGGGAAGGCGUCACCACUGCCUCCAUCCCUG